CCUCUCAAAAUCCAAACCACAUUCAAUACCUUUCAAUUCUCACCAGCCGCCAUUUAUGGAACCGGAGACUGUCAUAAACCUCUUCGAUUCGAUGUGGUUCCACCUCGGGAUCCUCGAAACACCGCCAGAAACCUCAAUUUCACCGACUCCCCGCCUUCACACUCAACAGAAUCCGUCAAAUCUAAAGGUCUCGCGCCAAAUAUCGCUCCUUGCAAGAUCGAAGAGCGAUGAGCUGUCGAGCUUCGCAACGCAGGAUUCCUCUCCCGAUUCGGUCCUCAAACCCCACCUCCAAACCAUACUCUCCGACAAAGAGAUUUCAAUUCCAUCGGAAAUUCCGAAAAGUCCGGUGAUGAAGGAAGCCGUCAGACGGCGGCACGACAGGAGGAAGAAGCGGCUGAGCAAGAGCUUGUCGGAGCUGGAGUUCGAAGAGGUGAAGGGCUUCAUCGACAUCGGCUUCGUAUUCUCCGAAGAAGACAAGGAGGAUCCGGCGCUCGUAGAAAUGAUUCCCGGCCUGCAAAAAUUAGGGCAGAAAACGGAAUCGCGCGAUCGGGAAAAUGAAGAGAAGAGGAGGGUUGAGGAAGCUUCUAGAAUGAGAGCGAGGCCGUAUCUAUCAGAAGCGUGGGAGUUUUACAAAGAGGAGGAGCAAGCUUUGAUGAAAUGGAGGGUGCCUGCUGCAACAAAUGAGAUGGACAUCAAAGAUAGCCUCAAAUCGUGGGCCCACACAGUCGCUUCUGCUGUUAGAUGAGAUGAUUUUUAGAAAAGCUUACGUGUUAAUAUUCUUUUUUCUUUUUUUUUGUAAGUAGCGUUUGGUAUUGGUUUUUCUAAUUUUUCUAGAGUUCAAAAUUCAAAUUCUUUUAUUUCUUAUUUUAAGUUUGUAUAUAUCAAUUUGAGCAACCUUGUUGUAGAUUCAAAUAAAGCUAGGAACGCUCUCUUUCUUAUUCUAUUUACGAUGACCAUUAAAAAUAUAUAUAGUUUAUAUGGAUGUAUUUGUGUGCGCAUAUGUAAAUGGUAAGGUAUAUGAAAAUAUAAAGUAACGGGAGACAUUGAUUUAAAGAAUUAAAGAGAUUUCAUAUGCAUCAAGUAAUUCUACGUUUUGAUCAACUAAUACUUAAUUAAACAAAUCAAUAAAUAUACAAACUAUAAAUUGACAAAUACAUUUGUUUGGAGUUCGGGCCACUAUAAAAUUCACAAGUGAAUUUAAGGAGAAAAUUAGAAGUCAACUAUGAGUUUCAGCUUAGAACUUUUUUUUUUUUUGAAAGAUUCAACUUAGAACUUAUAAAAAUGUAAAAUAGUCCUAAAAAAAAAAGAACCAACUCAAAAAAAUGUAUAAAGAAAAAAAAAGUUACAGCAUAUUAGAACUUUAUUUAAAGUUGUUGAACCCAAUAUAGGCCCACUUUUAGGCCCAUAAUUUUGGUGGGCUCCUACGUACCUGGAAAUCCAAGCUCACUCCACUACAAAAAUCUGAAUAUAUUACAGGUAACGUGAAAAUAUAUUUAUAAGAAAAUGGACGAGUGGGUUCAUCAAUAAGACAAUAACUCAAUGGAAGAAUUAUCUCAAAAGAAAAAGACCAAGAUUAAACCCUAUUUAAUCAUUAAUUACUUCAUAAAACCGAACACUACCUUACACAUAUCUACAAAAAUAUUCAAAUAAUAAAUUAUCGUAACAAUUUAUAUUAUAAAUUUAAAUAUAUUUGAAUUACUUAUUCCACUAUAUGAAUUUGAGACAGGCACAACUCAAACGGCGAAUAUAAUUACUUUUAAAUGAAUUUUUAAUUUGCAUGAUUAUAUCAAUUGAGCGAUUUAGGAACUGAAAUGUGUUUGGUGGUCAGCGUUAGGUUUUAUUGUUUUAUCAUACAGUCGCUAUUGGAAAGACGAAUUACGUUUAGGAAUUUAGCAAACUUUCAUAAUUUAUAGAGCGCGAAUUCCUCAUUGCGCCGCCGAUAUGACGGAGCCGAGGCGAUUAAAAGGGCACAGCGCCGCCGCCACUUGUUGCAUCGCUUCCCGAGUCCGACCAGGCUUCAUCGCCACAGCCGCCGAGGUCACUUCCUAACACACUCUAGUUCAGCAUCUGCGUGUAAAAACAGUUCAAUUGAGCUCGAAUAACAAGUGUUCACAAUUCCCAUAUUUAAGUUCAGAUUUUCUGGCAUGCUCUAAUUUUUUUGGAUUUAACUUUUUCAUCUACUUUUUAAGUGCUGCACUUUCUUGUUUCUUAAUUUACUUUUUCCGUUAUAGGAUGGUCGCGUUUGCUUGUAUGAUUUGCGGUGCAAAGAUAUUCUGUUCUCUAUGGAUGUGGGGGAUGGGAACCCUGUUUCAUCUGUAUGUUUUAAGCCAGGUUUGUGAAAUUUCUCCUAUUUUUGGUGGUUUCUUAUUUCAUUUCUUCGUUCGUGUAUUUUUGUAGUAAUUUCUUAUUAUGCUGCGUCUGAGCCAUAGCGAAGCGAAUAUGUCCUAGCCUGUUAGUGGCGGAGGAGGUUGACAGUUCUAUCAAAAGAGUUUGUUUUGAUGUUUUCUAUUAGACCUGUUAUUAUUGAUUUUUGAUAUAUUCUUCUCAUAAUAUCUGAUGAGAUGUGAGACUUACUUUGACUACGUAAACUAGAGUAAUUGAUCUUAUUUAUUGGAGUGGAAACGUAAUACUGAUACAUGCUGGGAGUUUUGUAACAUAAUACAUGCUGCAGGGAAUGAAGGGAUCAUCUAUGUUUCUGUAGAAAACGAAAUCAAGUGCUUUGAUUUACAUGUGGUAUGCUUUCGUUUCACUCCUGUAGUGCUGUGUGUCAUUUCAAGUGUGAUUAAUCCUGUCUACCUUCUUUAGACAUAUCUUUUGCACAGUGAUGACAUUUUUGUGAUGUUGAAUAUGAUAAAGAUCUUAUAUGUUUGCCUAUGCAAAUUGAUUUUUAAAGAUGAGCAGGCAUCUGCUAUUAUUGUUGCUGACAUCUGAUUCCAUGCAUAAGAUUUGUGUUUUCGUCUGAUCAAUAUUUGUUUGUCAGAAACCAAUCACCACAAUCCAUAUUCUGUUAGAUUUUGCUUGAAAGUUUCUUACCACUUUUCUGAUAAUUUAUAGUAGUAUUUUAUUUUCAUUUUCUGAUAAAGGUUUUUUGCAUAAAUAAUGUCAUAAAGUUAUUACUAACAGUCCUGUACAAUAUGUCAGACAACUUCAUGCAAGCAACUUGAAAGUUACAAUUAUAACAAGGAUGAGAUAAAUCAGGUAUGUCACGAAUUAUUUUUUCCUGUAUUGACUGGUUGAUUAGGAAGCAUAUUGUUACUUGAAAAGGAAUCAGUGAUUAAUUCCAUAGUCUGACAGGAGUGAUCAACUUUUUUUGGCUAACAUCUUCUCCCAAUUCACUAUUAAAAAGUACAAUUACAACUGAUUUAUUGCCAUUACUCUAAAUUGUGUUUGCCGUUUACAAUGUGCAGAUUGCCUGUCACCCAAAAUCUUCUUUUCUAGCUGCUGCAGAUGAUGCAGGAGAUGUAAAGGUAUGAACUUUUGCUAAGGUUUGGUUUUAUGUGACAUAUGGUUAGGUUUGUUGGAUUGAAUAUAUCCUUCAGAAAUUUGAUGAGGAUAUUUUCAAAAUUAAGGACAAUGGCUUGUGCAGACUUUCUUUUGGCGCAUGUGGAUUUACCUGAACUUGAAUUUGAAAUAUAUCAAUCCAGGAAAUUUGAGCCUUAGGGGCCGUUUACUUUUGAGGAGUAGCCUUGAUAGAUAAAAAUAGUAAGGUUAAUCCCUUGUUUACUUAGAUGGAUUGGAACUUUGGGAUAUCCCAAGGCCCUUGAUUAUUUUUAUCAUUUGAGCUAAUUUUGCUUGAUUCAUAUCCCAUUGAAAGGUUGGGUUUGGAGAAAUCAUAGUCUUAGAGGAUAGAAAAACUCAAUGAUGCAUCUUAUCAAUCAUGCAAAAUAAAUUCCCCCUUAAAGAUUUAUUUUUGUCCAUUUGCCUUCAUUGCAGAUUGUUGAUGUUCACCAACGAUGUCUAUACAAAACAUUGAGAGCUGGUCACCAGAGUGUAUCCUUUCCUUUGUAAUAUACAUUGGUUUGCCAUAGGGCAUUCUGUUUUAAUUCAAUAGAUUUUCAUUUUCUUUUCCUUCCAAGCAUCAAUUCACAGAUCUGCUGAUAUCUUCAAGCUUUUCCUGUUGACCUUAAGUUUGCCAAGGUAGAGAGCGUUUGUUUGUUUCUUAUGAAAUUCCUUGUGUUUCUGUUUGAUGACUAAACUAUCUCUAAUGCGUGGCCGUGGUUAACUUUUUUUCUUCAGAUCUGCAGCAGUGUCCAGUUCCUUCCUUGGAGAUCUUGGGAAGGUAUUAUUAAUAAUAUACCUGAUUCUAAAUGAUUGUGCUUUAUUCAGUUCACGUCAUUAAUCUACAUUAUUUUCAUGUAACUUUUAAUCAAAAACUAUCUUGUACAAUUGUACCCCAUUUUGCUACGUAUGUAAGAGAAGUGUACCCCUGCUGAUAUGUCUUUAUCUGGUGGGCCUUAUUAAUAUGAUAUGUUUGGCUAUUCUGUUUUUUGAAGAUAAAAUGUUAUCUAUCAGUGUCUUGCGGUUUGCUCUCUGUUUCUAUGUUCUACUGUUCUACUUAUUUAUCUGCAUGUUUUAUUUCAUGUUUUUGCAGUCAUCACUGGUGGUCUAGAUUCAAAACUUGCACUUUGGGACUUCUCCAGAGGGCGUCCAAACAAAAUUAUGGACUUUGGUAUCAGCAUCUUUGCUCUCUGUUUAUAUGUUCUACACAAUGCUUCUCUUAUUCUGCCUCCUGUGAUAGUAACCCCCCCCCCCCAACCACACACACAACAAAAAAAGAAUGAAAAAAAUCUUAUAUGUUUGAUUUUAGUGUAGCUGGUUUGAAUUUGAAAUAGAUUUCUUAAUUGUUCAUGAGAUAUAUACUUUUUAAGUAAUUGUAUGAAGUUGGAUUCCAAAUUUCCACAAUAAAUAAAAUAGAUUCUUUAGCUUGAAUUAAUGAAAGUGGCCCUUUUUUCAGUAUUUAUCUUGCUAUCAUCUUCAUGCUUAAUGCUUUAAGUUGAGGUGACAGAGCCACUGUUUCCUUUUCCAUGAUAUUGCUUUGUUGUUUUAAACUCCAACUGUUAAUUGAAUAAUUCCAUGGUCAAUAGCCACACAGAUGCUACAUUAUAUCAUUGUGUAGCUUGCUCGCAGAUAAAUUGUAGGAUCUUGAUAAUCUAAUAAGUCUGGUAAAUCUGUUUGUUUUAUCAUGCAUGUACAGUUUUUAUCCCAUGCCUUUUGUAUUUGUAAUUUUUAUUCCAUUCUUAAUGUCUCAUACGGAUACUUUUGCAGGCAGUGGAGGCAAUGCAGGACAGUGCUAUAACCCAGCUUUUGUCCAUGCUCUAGUAGUUCCUGACCUUGAUUUUGUGGAUAGCGUUGGCAAGAUCUGUGUCGUGGCUAGGGGCGAUGGUGUUGUCAAUGUAAUUAAUCUUGAGCCUGAACUUACUUCUCAAAAAUCCAAAAAUUCAUCCAAGUCAAAGAUGGGUACUAAAUCACUACCAAAAGGCAAUCCCCCAACCGCAGACCAAAAUGACAGAAACCUGCAAUUAGAUUACUCGAUGGGUGGACAUGUCGCUGCAGUAUCCUCUGUGUAAGUGAUACUGCUAACUGCUGUACUAUGAUAGCUCCUUGGUUUUGGUUACUCUCUCUCUCUCCACACACACACUUAGAUUUAAAAGAAGUUUUAUUCACUGCCAUCGUCAUAUCUUAUUCAGGAGCUUUUCCAUGUUUGGAGAGAAAGGGAAGUUCAUCAUUUCAGGUGGAAACGAUAAGUCGGUAAAAGUCUGGGAUUGGUUGAAAUCUUGUGAUGGUGGUGAAACUAGUAACGGCGGCGGUGAUAUUCUAUGUUCCAGCAUUAGCCUGAGCAGAAAGGUGAGCUACAUGUUCUUGAUAUGUAUACUGAGCUUCUGUCAGACCUCACCCUUCUUUAGUAUGGCAUCUUUGUGAUUAUAUCUUUGUCUGCUCAGGUGAAUUGGCUCUGCACAACUCCAUCCGAUUCCGAAAAUCUAGUUGUCUGUGACACAUCUAAACUAGUAAAGGUUUAUACUAUUGGGUAAAUUUCCAGAAUCCCACAUUUAGUGGAUGAAUGAAUCCUCUGAUAUUUGAAGUGUGUUGAGAUCUGCAUUAAGCCUGCCUUGCAUCACAGUGAUGUUUAUGUUGUGGUGGCUGUAAAUUUAUUUAUUUCAUCUGCGACUAAGUCCCUAUGAAUAAUUAGAAUUACAACUGGUGGAGGCAACCUUGAAUUUGGUGGAGUAUGUAUAAUACUAUUAUUUUGGAUUUAGAACUUAUAAUUCUUUUUCUCUUUGAGAUGGUAUUCUGUGUCAUUUACUAGAUUAUAAGGUUUUAUUUUGGAUAUAACUGCAAUUUCCCUUCGACAUCUGGCACAAUCGAAAUAGGGUUUCUAUUAGCAACUUAUUUCCUAAUUAUAAUGAAUAUACCUAGGCUAAAUUUGAUUAUUCAUAGUAGUGGCAUUUUUUGCAACAAUCAGAAUAUUGUAAGGUUUAGAAACUAAUCGAUUACGUAUAGUUUUAUUUAAACAAUGCAUUCAAAUAGAGGAGCAAGCAUGAUAUCACGCUGAUCGUAAAUACAUGUAGAUAAUUGAAUAAAGUUAAUAAUAAAUUAUAUUUUCAUCGAAGAGGCUUAACUCAAGCGACAGAGUUAAAAGUUAAAACACCAAAAAUUUUCUUUUAUAAGGGAUCAUUAGUUCAAGUCCAACAAAUGUCGUGUGAGUUGUUUUAUGAAUUGUAUUUUCAUCUAUAUAGUUCAAGUUGUAAUAUCGCUGAAAAUGCAUACAAAUAAAGUUGAUUUAAAUUAAUGGUAAUUAUCACAUAUGAAAUAUAGGAAUUAGAAAAAUGAGAAAAAUGCAUGCUUGUAACUUGUAAGCAAAGACGCGCUCAACAUAUUGACAUAAUCAAUUACAAAAAACUAAAAUUAAAACUGCAACUGGGGAAACUAUGAGAAAUACUGAAAUAGGGAUCAAAGUCAAAGAUGGAAAAAGUAAAAGAUCUAAAAUUUACUGUAAUUCGAGAUUCCCGCAAAAUGAGGCCGUGGUGCAAUUCGCAUCAAUUUGAGGGAUCUAUUUGCGAACACCGAAAUUCACGAGGACCUAUCUGCAAUUCUCAACAUUUGGAGUCCUUGAGGCUGAAGGCUCGUUGGUUGAGUCAGUUGAGAUGUACCUCGCCAACCAUAACCUGCCUUACAAUUCCCGCAAUUUUUUUGAAAUCUUUCCACCAGAAAUUACAAAGAAAAGAAAAAAGAAAAAGAAAAAAGAUGACCCUUCUCCAUCCGCUUCCGCCUAAAGCUUCGUUCCACCAAACUCUGCUCCCUCUCAACAGCCUUUCCCAAUUUUAUUUCAUCUUCAUCAAACACCACAUUUACAUUCCUUGAUAUUAAUUCUUGAUAUAUAUUGCCAUACUUAGAAAUCUGGUAUUUCCAGCCUGAGCGAGAACAGCCAUUUGCAGAAGGUGGCAAAGUGAAGAUGAUGGAAUCUGGGAUUCCCAUAUGCAACACUUGUGGUGAACAAGUGGGAUUAAACGCCAAAGGCGAAGUGUUUGUGGCUUGUAAUGAAUGCAAUUAUCCCAUCUGCCACCAUUGUUUCGAUUACGAAAUCAAGCAAGGCCGUAGCGCCUGCAUCCGCUGUGCCACUCCUUAUGCUCAUGGUAUUUACUCUUUCUAUUCUGCUUUUACUCAUGUUUCACUUUAUCACCGUUUUCAUGCAUUUGAGAUCUGAUCUUAGUGAUAUCAUUUUUUUUAGAAUAAUAUUUUUAGAAUUAAUUAAAUGAACAGAUGGUGCAGCAGUGGCUGAAGUUGUAGUUGAAGAAUCUGUCCAUCAUAUUCCAAUUGUACAUACUGCUCAGGUAUGAUGUGCUAAGAUUAUCAUAAUGUUUUUGUUCAUGCAGUAUCAAAGAAAUUAUGGAGUGAUUAUAAAAUUUGGAUGUAAAAUAAAAAACAAUGUUUAUUGGAAUCUCAAAGUUAGAAAUAUUGCAGGAAACUGGAGUUCAUGCUAGAAAUGUGAGUACUGUUUCCACAAUAGACAGUGGUGAGUAAACAGAUUUAACAGUAAUGAACUAAAAUAUAUCUGCCUACAUUGUUGGAUGAGAAAUUUAUGAACUUAUAUAUUCUCUUGUUUUCAAGAAUACAUGGAUGAAUCUGGAAAUCCGAUAUGGAAGAAUCGGGUGGAAAGUUGGAAAGACAAGAAGAAUAAGAAGAGCAAAGCUCCGAAAAAGGAUAAAAAAGCAGCAGAAGUUCCACCUGAUCAGCAAAUGGAUGACAAACCUCAGUAAGCACACUGAAACUUGCUUCAUUUCUGAACAAUUUAGUAAAACUAAAUUACUAUAAAUAUUGUUACAAAAAAUUUGCAGGUCAGUGGAUGCUUCUCAACCACUCUCCAAAGUAAUUCCUAUACCAAAAACCCAGCUCACAUCAUACAGAGUUGUGAUCAUCAUGCGUCUCAUCAUCCUCGCCCUUUUCUUCCAAUAUCGCGUGACACAUCCUGUUGAUAGCGCCUUCGGCCUGUGGCUGACUUCUGUCAUCUGUGAGAUAUGGUUCGCCUUUUCUUGGGUGCUCGAUCAGUUCCCCAAAUGGUCUCCCAUCAAAGAGAGACCUUCAUUGACCGCUUGUCGGCUAGGUCUCUUCUCUUUCAUCUUCCAUUCUUCUUCUUCUUCACAUUGGCAUUACAAAAUCUGAUGAUGUUUUAGGUAUGAGCGCGAGGGGGAGCCGUCUGAGCUCGCUGCUGUGGAUUUCUUUGUGAGUACAGUGGAUCCAUUGAAGGAGCCUCCUUUGAUAACAGCAAACACAGUCCUCUCAAUCCUCGCAGUGGAUUAUCCAGUUGAUAAAGUGUCUUGCUAUGUAUCCGAUGAUGGUGCAGCCAUGCUUACAUUCGAGUCUCUCGUAGAGACUGCUGAUUUUGCAAGGAAAUGGGUGCCCUUCUGCAAGAAAUUCGCCAUUGAGCCUCGUGCCCCGGAGUUUUACUUCUCACAGAAGAUCGACUACUUGAAGGAUAAAGUCCAACCUUCCUUUGUCAAGGAGCGUAGAGCCAUGAAAGUAAGUGAAUUAGUUGUCAUUCAUUCAUUCAUUCGACAAAAUUUAUCUGAGAAUGACCCUUUCUUCUUGUUGGUGUCACAGAGAGACUACGAAGAGUAUAAAGUGCGGAUAAAUGCUUUAGUAGCAAAGGCCCAGAAAACACCAGACGAAGGGUGGAUCAUGGCAGAUGGAACAUCUUGGCCCGGGAACAACUCACGCGAUCAUCCCGGCAUGAUUCAGGUGUUUUUGGGAAGCACGGGCGCACACGAUACAGACGACAAUGAGCUGCCGAGGCUGGUUUAUGUGUCGAGAGAGAAGAGACCUGGCUACCAGCAUCACAAGAAGGCUGGUGCAGAAAAUGCUCUGGUAUGGAUAAUGGAUGCCUUUCUGUUUUUACUAGUAUAUAUUUGUGAGCCAUCGGAGAUGAUGAUGUCGAUGUUCAUGAACUUGUUUCAGAUAAGAGUUUCGGCGGUUCUCACAAACGCACCAUACAUACUGAAUCUUGACUGUGAUCACUACGUGAACAACAGCAAGGCUAUCCGCGAGGCAAUGUGUUUCUACAUGGAUCCUCAAGUAGGCCGCGACGUCUGCUACGUGCAGUUCCCGCAGAGGUUUGAUGGCAUCGACAAGAGCGAUCGAUAUGCCAACCGCAACACUGUCUUCUUCGACGUAACAUUUCCACUCCUUUUCACCAUCUGUAAUCACAAAGACUUAAACCACCAACUUCACUAAAUCAUCACUACUUGCUAUUUACAGGUGAACAUGAAAGGCUUGGAUGGAAUUCAAGGACCAGUCUAUGUCGGAACAGGAUGUGUUUUCAACAGACAAGCUCUGUACGGCUAUGGCCCUUCAAAUCUACCCCUCUGCCUAACAAGUCUUCAUCUUCAUCAUCAUCGUGCUGCUGCUGCUGCCGCGGGAAGAAGCCCGCCAAGGAGAAGGAUUUCGCGGAGACUUACCGCGACGCGAAGAGAGAAGACCUCAACGCCGCCAUAUUCAACCUGAGAGAGAUCGACAGUUACGAUGAGCACGAGAGGUCGUUGCUCAUCUCCCAGAUGAGCUUCGAGAAAACCUUCGGGCUGUCGUCGGUGUUCAUCGAGUCGACGCUGCUGGAAAACGGAGGAGUCGCGGACUGGGCGAAUCCAUCGCUGCUGAUAAAAGAAGCGAUCCAUGUGAUAAGCUGCGGGUAUGAAGAGAAGACUGCGUGGGGGAAAGAGAUAGGUUGGAUCUACGGGUCGGUGACGGAGGACAUAUUGACGGGAUUCAAGAUGCAAUGCCGCGGGUGGAGAUCGAUCUACUGCAUGCCGUUGAGGCCGGCCUUCAAGGGCUCGGCGCCGAUCAAUUUGUCCGACAGGUUGCACCAAGUUCUGCGGUGGGCGUUGGGAUCAGUGGAGAUCUUCCUCAGUCGACAUUGCCCUCUCUGGUACGGCUUCGGCGCCGGGCGCCUGAGAUGGCUGCAGCGCCUCGCCUACAUCAACACCAUCGUUUACCCUUUCACCUCUCUCCCUCUCGUCGCCUACUGCACGCUCCCUGCUAUAUGCCUCAUCACCGGCAAAUUCAUCAUCCCCACGGUUAUUUUGACCUAAUAAUUUAUGUGCCUUUUCAAUUUUCAACCAAACCUAACCUAAUUUUGAUUUUAAUUGUUUUGAUCUGAUCUCAGCUGUCGAAUCUGGCGAGCGUGCUGUUCCUAGGGCUGUUCAUGUCGAUCAUCCUGACGAGCGUGAUCGAGCUGCGGUGGAGCGGCGUGAGCAUCGAGGCGCUGUGGAGGAACGAGCAGUUCUGGGUGAUCGGGGGCGUGUCGGCGCACCUCUUCGCGGUGUUCCAGGGGUUCCUGAAGAUGCUGGCGGGGCUGGACACCAACUUCACGGUGACGUCGAAGGCGGCGGACGACGGGGAGUUCGCGGACCUGUACGUGUUCAAGUGGACGACGGUGCUGAUCCCGCCGACGACGAUCCUGGUGAUCAACCUGGUGGGGGUGGUGGCGGGAUUCUCGGACGCGCUCAACAGCGGGUACGAGUCGUGGGGCCCGCUGUUCGGGAAGGUGUUCUUCGCCUUCUGGGUGAUUCUUCAUCUGUAUCCGUUCCUUAAAGGUCUGAUGGGCCGGCAGAACCGCACUCCUACCAUUGUUGUGUUGUGGUCGGUGCUCCUGGCCUCUGUUUUCUCUCUCAUCUGGGUCAAGAUCGACCCCUUCGUCUCCACCAAUGAUGCAUCGGCUGCAGCGCAGAGCUGCAUCUCCAUUGAUUGUUAACUUGGUUACUUAAAUCGCAAUAAUGGAACUCCUAAGUUGAUAGUGGUUGAGAUUUUUGGGAUUUUGAUUUUGAUUUUGUCAAAGAAUGAGAUGCUGUAAAUGUGAAGACUAUUCUAGUUUAAUGUGAAAGACGUGGAUUUGAAGGAAGAAUUUCAGUGUUAUGCUAGUAUUCAUUAUUGAGUUUUGUAAUGGGUUCGAUUAAAGAAGAAGUUGCCGUAACCACGAAUUUGGAUUGCUGAGAAAUAUAGUACUACUACUACUUGAUUUGGGAGCAUGUAAAUGGAGUAUGUAAUGUAAUAAUGAAGGUCUAGCCUUUGAAAGUUUUCUUGUAUUUCCCCUAAAAUGAUUUAAUGGGGGUGGUGCUUUUGCUUCUAAGAAAUUAGUACUCUACUAGUAAUUCGUAAUAUCAUGGUUAUGUUUGUGUGAAGCAAUAACUGUAGAUUAACCAUUGGUUUUGGGAACAUUAAUUAUCGGUAAUAAAUGACGUGACAUUAUUCUUAUAAAACAAAGUAAAAAUUUCCAACCUGAGAUUACCUGUUUCCAGCUAUAUAUAUAUAGGUAACGCGUAUGGGGUUUCGGACCCUCAACAGUAGGUACUCCUCCUGUCUCCAGUCUUAUGUUUAGUUCAAUAAUUAUUCUAAUGGUAAUGGAGAAUAUUGGCAGGUCAAUAAGUCCUAAACCUCUCUUGGUAUUAGAGCAUCCGCAUUGGGGAUUUCUUGAUAGCCUACUUGAUAGUGUUUGUGUUAUUGAGUAGGUAGUGUUGCAUUGGGGUUCCUUGAUAGCCUACUUGAUAAUAUUAGUUUUUGAUUUUAUGUUUUUCAUUUAAAUUUAAUUGCUCAAAUUUAAAUAACACAAUUUAUUUCAAAUUUAAAUUGCAUUAAUUAUAAAAAUCCUAAAUAUUACAUAAAACUUUAAUAAAAUAAAAAAAAUAAAAAAAAAACAAAAUAAAAACAGCCAUUGAAAAUUAAAAUAUAUAUAUAUUUUUUUAAUUUGAGGCUCGAGUACUACGCGAUUACUCGAGUAGUACUCGAGGAGACAUUAGUUGCAACGCCAUGCUCGAGGAUGGUACAUUACUCGAGUGAUGCUCGAGGAGCCCGCGAUGCGGGUGCUCUUAGUAUAAGUGGUUCAAAAUAUUUCGACAUUAAAACUAAAAAGAAUAUAUAAAUUAAUUAAAAAUAGUAGUAUCUAUAUUUUUUUAAUACUUUAAUUAAAAUUUUCAAUUUAUGCAAACAUGCCACUUAUAAUGGCGGUCCAAAAUAAAAUACAUAUAACUUUUAAUGAGACGGAGGAAAUGAUAGUUAAUUUUAAUUUUAGUAUAAUAAUAUGUAAAAUUUAAAUUUAUUUUAAUUUUUAUAUGAAAUUAAAAUUUUCGAAUUAAAAGUUGAUGGGAAGUUGGAAUUUGUCGUCCAACAAUCAAAUCCCAAUCGACUUAAUAAAACGUACACCAUGAACGAUUACCCACAUCAAGCAAUUCAAUUCUACAAUUUGAUAAUUUUUUGAAGUGUUGGUGCGAAUAAAUUCAAUGUUUUCGUUCGCUAUGAAGUUUGUCUCUACAUGAAGAUGCAUUGCGAUAUGUGAGCUCAAGUGAGUAGACCUUAGUUGCUCUUCUAAUAGCCUUAGAGCAUCCACAAUGGUGGUGUCUUAGAGGGGUGUCUUAGGAGUGGGCCCCACCUAAGACACACCCCUCUCCAAUGCAUUGUGUCUUAGGUGGGUGCUUAGAUCCCCAUUUCCACAAAAUUCAUAUUUCUACACUUUUAUUUUUAAAAUUCAAAUUUCAUUAAAAUUAAAAUUCUACAUUACAAUAAUUUAAAUAAAAUUAAAAAUAUAAUUAAAAUACGCUAAUAAAAUAAAAAAUAACAUAAUUUCCUAAUUUAAAUAAGCCCUCGACGCUUGAGCACUUCUUGGACUAGGUGGUUGUGCAAAGCCAAUUGUGCAUCCGUCAUACCCGUCGUAUCCUUGUUCAAGAGCUUCAUAUUCAUCUCCUCUCGUUUCAUCUCGGCUUGCAUUUUUUUGGCCUCGGCGAUUACCCCCGUUUUUAGAGCAUGCUCCUUCAUGCUUUCGGCCACCUUCUCGAGGGCGUCGGAGAACGCCGAUCCUCCUCCCGAAGACCCUUCUCCCUUUUUUGCCUUGCCCUUGUCUCGCUUUGCCGCUUUUUGGCCUUGGGGUCUCGCCGUGACACUCGGCUCCGAAGAAGUAGUGGUUGCUUCACCAUCGGAGCCCUUCGACUUUUUGGCGGAGUGGACAUCCCGGCUUGCGACGUGAAUCUUUGGCAGUCACGAAGCACUUUCCAAGCUUUGACGUAGGAGAAUUGCUUCUUGAAAUUCGCCUCGAACAUCGUCUGGGUUUGUUAGAAGAUUUGAUCGUCGCUCAUACCACUCCCCCAAUUGUCCUUGCAGGUGUUGUAGAAGCCCUCGAAAAAUUUUGUCUCCUUUUGGACACGGGCGAAGUGGGACUUGAGAUGAUCCGGCUUUCGCGGCGGCGCUCCUGACGUAUUGAGCGCGUUGACCUUCUCGGCGAUUGCUCCCCAAUAUUGGAGCAACUUUUGGGAGGUCCCCAAAAUAGGAUUGUGGGUUGCCUCCGCCCACAAUAUUGCCACGAGCUCGGUCUCCUCGCUAGAAUAUGCAGCGCGGGUGCCCUUGGCUUUCGGUUUCACCUCCUCCGGCUCUUCUUGAACGUUGGCGUUCGCCGCCGGCGUAGGAACAUUUCCUGUAGCCAAGACAUUCGAGGCUUGUGAAAAUGGAGCAAACCCCAUCAUUGGAACCCUCGAUCCGCCUUGUUGCUCCAUGUAUUCAUCGAAUUCACGAUCCAUCUUUCGAAAUGUAGAAGAGAGAAUUGUUUUUGGGAGAGAAUUGUAGUUGAAGAUGUUGGUGAAUUUGAAAGAAUGGAAGGAAGAGUGGUAUUUAUAGAAGGGGAAAAAAGAAAAAAAAAGAAAAAUCAAAAUAGCCGUUGAAUUUGCAACGGUCGUUUUUUUUUUUAAAAAAAACAAAAACAAAAAUUGAAAACGGUCGAAUUUUGCCAAAAUUACCGAUUUUUGUAUUUUUUUUUUAAAUUUGAGCGCGUCCUGACCGCCAUCUCUUCUCCUCUCUCGCCCCGUGUUGAAGCCUCGACCCCGCCUCGCAUCUGGGCGCCCCUCCAGCGUGCGGCCGCCUCCUUCGCCCCGGAUCGACACCGGCUUUGCCGCUGCCGCUGUGGAUGCUCUUAAUCGGCCGAAGAGUCUCGAGAAAGAAAUGAAGAUUGAAAUUUAGGGAAUGAAAUUUGGGAAAUAAUUAAUUAAUUGAUCUCUAAUUAAUAUUUGUGGAAUGUUACGUUAACAUCAACACUUGUCUCGUCAAUUAGAAUUUCCACGUCAAAUUUAAAGGAAUGGUUAGAAUUUUCACAUCAAAUUUAAAGGAGUAACAAAUAAAAAAAUUACACAUUAUUAUAUUAAAAUUAAAAUUCGUGUACAAUUCAAAAAUUAAUUCAUAAUUUGUGUAUUUAUAGUUAAAUACCCUUUGUUUUAAAUUGCCCCUUUUCCUAAUUUUAACGAUUUAGUUUAAGAGCACUCCUUUUCUUUUCUCGGCUCGAUCGGUCUUGGAACUUGCGUUUGACUAAUUAAUCACUGACCUACAGCGAGUGUUUGAGGUGUGUGUCUUUAGAAAAAUGAAUUGAUAUAGAUUUUGUUAAUACUUUCUUCCUCUUACAGAAGGUAAGUUUCUGCAAACAUUCCAAAAUUGCGGUUUUAUGUAGUUUCUUAUUCUUAUUCUUUACAAUAAAAUUUUGCGAUCACAUUAUUAUAACCGAUUAAGAGAGAUACUAGUUUAAUAAAUAUGAAAUGAACAGAAAAAAGAAAAUUCUGUGUAAUGCUCAAAUGCUUUUAUAUAAUAAUUCUUUUACUAUUAAUUCUAGAAAUAGAAUGUAACUAUUAGUCAAACACAUAACAGUCAUAAAAAAAAGUUAUACAUUUAGAUGAAUUAAUUAUUUUACUAAAACAAUUUAAAAUGAAUCGAUUUUUAUUUAAACCAGAGUUAUUACUAGUCAUAUCGAGGCCAAAUAACAUGACUCCGUUCUGUAACUAGAUUUUAGGCAUAUUCAGUUGUUUUCCAGAAAAAAGUUACAAAAUUCAUUUAUAUAUAGGAGUAACUAAAGUACGUGCAUACAUAAAGAAAUUUAUGUAUUCAUAUAUCUUUUCAACUACAUAAAAUAUAAUUUAAUACGUUGUUGAGAUAUAAACUCUUUAUGUAUCCAUUAAUUAUCUUUUCAAAUACAUAAAAUACUAAUUUUAUUCAGUGUUGAGAUAUAAACUGAGUGUAUUAUUUCAAAUGUAGUAAUAAAAAUUUGGUAAUAUUUGAAAUGAGUAAUUAAAAAAUAAACCAAGUUAUCAACAUUGGUGUUUGAUUAGAUUAUCGACAAUCAUAAACAUCAUACAAGUUUGUUUACUAAAUUAAAUUAAAAAAAUGAUUAGAAAACGAAGACUAUGACCUAUCUGUAUGUGAUUAAUCAACUACUGUACUUAGAAAUUUCCUAAUUUAGCUAAAGUUUUGUGAAACCUUUCCAGUGAAAUCUAGAUCAAAUAUGACUAAACUUAGUAGUCAACAAAAAGUUUUAGUUAUUGAUUGAUCAAUUAACUGUAGUAAAUCAUAUAUUAAAUCUAUUACAUAUAUAAAAACUAAAUGUCGGUAAGAAUUAUAAUUGUACCAUUUCCCCUCCAAAAGACAUAUACUAUCAUCCAAUAGAUUUUACAUAGAGUAUACUAACUGAUUUUAGUUAUUGAUUGAUCAAUAACUCUAGUUAUUGGAUUUCUAAUCAAUUUUAAUAAUCGUUCUUGUUGUUUGUAGGAUGCUUGCUUCAUUAUGAAGUACUCCCCCGUCCCAUGAAGCAUGACACAGUUCUUUUCGACACGAGAAUUAAAAAAUUUGUAUUUUGUGUGCUAAGUGUGGUAGGUGAAAAAGUGAAAAUAUGAAUAAAGGGUAAAUUUUUUGUCAUUUUUAGAAACGUGUCAUAUUUCGUGAGACGGACCAAAAAGGAAACUGUGUCAUGCUUCGUGAGACGGAGAGAGUAGUAAAUUUUACGACCUAUAUAUGUACUUACAAUUUUUCUUCAUGUUAUCAAUGGAGCAUCUUUGUUUAACUAAAUUUUUUUUAUUAAUUACCUUUUCACUAUCUCCUAUUAAAAUCACUAAACUAACAAUAACGAAAACUCAAAAAUAGAUACUUUGCCUUGCAAAAAGUUUGUCUCCCAGUCCAUUAUUUGUGUUAGUUUAGUAUAGUUAUGUAAAUUUUCCUUUUAAAAACAGUACAGUUAUGUAAAUAUAGACAAAUCCAAGGCUAUUAUUAUAUCACACCAACUGUCACUCACUCUCACUCACUCACCCCUACAACAUAAAACUCGACAAAAAUUGUCCGAACUCGCAAACUAAAUCUUUUAUUACAAUGGCAAAAAUUGCACCAGAUCCUUCUCCCCUCCUCAUCUUCCUCCUCCUCCUCCUCCACCACGCCACCGCCGCAAUGCCCCCACUCGUCGCCGUCCGCCCCACCCCUCUCCACCCUACCCGAAACCCCCUCCGAUCCUCCCCACUUUCCUCCUCAACCCUCGACCCAAACCAGCUCCGACGCACUCCAAUCCCUCAACAUCCCCACCUCCAAAGACCCNAACUACAUAAAAUAUAAUUUAAUACGUUGUUGAGAUAUAAACUCUUUAUGUAUACCAUUAAUUAUCUUUUCAAAUACAUAAAAUACUAAUUUUAUUCAGUGUUGAGAUAUAAACUGAGUGUAUUAUUUCAAAUGUAGUAAUAAAAAUUUGGUAAUAUUUGAAAUUAGUAAUUAAAAAAUAAACCAAGUUAUCAACAUUGGUGUUUGAUUAGAUUAUCGACAAUCAUAAACAUCAUACAAGUUUGUUUAACUAAAUUGAAUAAAAAAAAUGAUUAGAAAACGAAGACUAUGACCUAUCUGUAUGUGAUUAAUCAACUGCUGUACUUAGAAAUUUCCUAAUUUAGCUAAACGUUUUUGUGAAACCUUUCCAGUGAAAUCUAGAUCAAAUAUAUAGGUGACUUAGUAGUCAACAAAAAGUUUUAGUUAUUGAUUGAUCAAUUAACUGUAGUAAAUGAUCAUACAUUAAAUCUAUAACAUAUAUAAAAACUAAAUGUUGGUAAGAAUUAUAAUUGUACCAUUUUCCCUCCAAAAGACACAUACUAUCAUCCAAUAGAUUUUUCAUGAAUUAUUGUCCAACAAAUAUUUCAUUGAUAUAUAAUUGACAUUUUGUUCCAUUUUCUUUAUAUCUCUAUCAUUUUGUGAGGCUAUUGUUGAUAUUAAAUUGGAGUUCGAUACCUAAACUCUAUAAGAUAUUAAUAUAAUUGUCAUAUUAUUUUACUUGAUAAUUUUAGGACGAAUCAUCUACCAAAAAUAAAUGUAAAAUAACACAUGCAGCACAUUUAAUAUGCACACGAGUAGUCAAAAUUCUAUGGUGAUGGAUUUGGAGUACUUGCUAUUAUUAUUUAUUGGUGCAUUGUUUAAUUUUUAUAUAUUAUAGAUGAACUUUUAUAUUAUAGCGAAUUAUUAUCAUUUAUUCAAUAAUAAGUUCUAUUAAUAAAAGUUCAUUACGUGCAUCGCAGGAUUAAUAUAAUACUAGUUAAAAAUAGUAACUUAACGAAUUACACUUAAUACUCUCACAAAAUCUAUUUGGAAUAUAUCCGAUCACUAUCAUCUAAGACUAUUAACCUUUUGAUUGGAACCAACACUUUACAAUUCAAAAUUACAAUCCUUUGGUUUAGAUAUGAGACUUCGGAAAGUGACAUACUUGCAUUGGAUUUCUAAUCAAUUUUAAUAAUCGUUCUUGUUGUUCGUAGGAUGCUUGCUUCAUUAUGAAGUAAAUUUUACGACCUAUAUAUGUACUUACAAUUUUUCUUCAUAUUAUCAAUGGAGCAUCUUUGUUUAACUAAAAUUUUUUUAUUACCUUUUCACUAUCUCCUAUUAAAAUCACUAAACUAACAAUAACGAAAACUCAAAAAUAGAUACUUUGCCUUGCAAAAUUUUGUCUCCCAGUCCAUUAUUUGUGUUAGUUUAGCAUAGUUAUGUAAAUUUUCCUUUUAAAAACAGUACAGUUAUGUAAAUAUAGACAAAUCCAAGGCUAUUAUUAUAUCACACCAACUGUCACUCACUCUCACUCACUCACUCACCCCUACAACAUAAAACUCGACAAAAAUUGUCCGAACUCGCAAACUAAAUCUUUUAUUACAAUGGCAAAAAUUGCACCAGAUCCUUCUCCCCUCCUCAUCUUCCUCCUCCUCCUCCUCCACCACGCCACCGCCGCAAUGCCCCCCACCUCGUCGCCGUCCGCCCCCACCCCCUCCUCCACCCCUACCCCGAAACCCCCCUCCCGAUCCUCCCCCAUUUCCUCCUCAACCCUCGACCCCAAACAGCUCCGAGCACUCCAAUCCCUCAACAUCCCCACCUCCAAAGACCCCUGCUCCCCAUCGCCGCCGCACUCCGCCGCCGCAUCCUGCGACUCCUCCGCCCCCUUCCGCCACCUCCUCUCCCUCACCCUCUCCAACUGCUCCGAAGACGUGGCCCUCUCCCUCACCGCCCUCAAAUCCCUCUCCACCCUCACAUCCCUCAGCUUCGUCAACUGCCCCGUCACGCCCAUCAGAUUCCCCGCCGAGCUCACCUCGAAUCUCCACAGCUUCACCUGCAUCAACAGCCUCGAGAAACUCACCGGCGUCUGGCUCAGCCGCCUGCAGAAUGUCACCGACCUCACCGUGUCGCACGUCGGCGUCACCGCCAGCGGCCCCACAAUCAUCCUCGGCGGCAUGAAAUUCUUGCAUUCCGUCACUCUCUCGCACACCAAUCUCUCCGGCUAUCUCCCCAAACACUGGCAUCCCAACCUCACCUUCGUCGAUUUAUCCGCCAAUCAUCUCAGGGGAAAGAUACCCAUUUCUCUCACCCGCCUCGAGAAUCUCGUGCAUCUGAAUCUCUCUUCCAAUUCCCUCAACGAAACGAUUCCGACCACCAUUGGCGACUUGAGCUCCUUGCAGAAUCUUUCUCUCGCGUCGAAUUCGCUAUCUGGGCCGAUUCCGGAAUCCUUAGCUGCAUUGCCGGCGCUGACGCAUCUUGAUCUGAGCUCCAAUCAGCUGAAUGGGACGAUACCCAAUUUCAUCAGAGACAUGAAGAAGCUGAAGUACUUGAAUCUCGCGAGCAACAGCUUCCAUGGCGUCUUGCCUUUCAAUGCGACGUUUAUAAAGAGAUUGGAGGUGUUCAAGGUGGGUGCAAACUCCAAUCUUUGUUACAAUCACACGGUUUUGGGGUCGAAGGUGAAGCUUGGGAUCGCUGCCUGUGAUAAACACGGGCUGCCGCUGUCGCCGCCGCCGGCGAAGAAUUCGGCGGCCGAUGAUUCGAGUGAUGGCUCCGACGACGAUUAUGAUGAUGACAAUGUGUUGGAAAAGAAGCAUCACAAUGGGCCCAGUAAGGUUGUUCUUGGUGUUGCAAUUGGGCUUUCUGCCAUUGUGUUUUUGAUUGUUUUCUUGGUUCUUUUAUCUAAAUGCUGUAAAUGAAAUUGAAUUCUUUUCUUGGUUGAUUAGGUUAGGGGGAAUUAUUGUGACCUUCAAAAGAUGAGUUUAUUGAGUUUGUUUCUAUGAUUUAUUUUGGUGAAAAGAAUUUCGAGAAAGAGAGAGGGAUGAUUCUUUUGUGUGUGAUUCUGUUGACUACUUUUUUCUUAAUUUAUUGCUUUGAGCAGAAAGACUGAUAUCUGCUCCGACAUUUACUUGUGAUGUGGAGAAGAGUGAAAAAGGAAAAAAAGAUUAAAAAAAAAAAGUGGCUAAUUAUCACUUUUUAAUGCUGCUGAGAGCUUACUUUAAAAUAGGAGUAGUAUUCCUCUUCAACUUUGUUUUAUGUUUAGAUGCAAGAAUCUACUUUUGCUGCAUCUUUUGCAGACUUCAGCCUUUGAUUUUCUUACUUUGAUCUCGGCCUUUUCUUUAUUUUUUUUCAUAUUUUUUGAACUGGUUCAUCUGAUUCAUUGAAUUUCUGAAAAGGAAGUGUUCCCAUUUUAAUUUUGGGAAAUUAAAAGUGUUCUUAUUUUGAUUUGGGCAAUAAGAUUUUUAAUUUAAUUAUUUUGUUGACUUUUUUAUUCUGAAUCUGUUUCUCUUUCAACAAAUGUUCUCUCUCUCUCUCUGUCUAUCUAAUUGAAAAUAUGCCUCAAAUCAGUUGACACUUUAGUUGGAGGCUCAGCUUGAAAAGGAUUAGUAUUUCGUAUUCUUAAAUUUAGUGUUAUUUUCAAAGCAUUUAUGUUUUUUAUUUACAUAUUAUUUCAUUGCAAGUUGGCAUAUGAUUCUCAUUGUUUAUGGUUUAUCAAGUUUGGAGCCAAACUGUUGCAUUCCCCCAACCCUUGAUGAAGGUGUGUAUGGCUUUAUGAUUGAGGUUUUUCCUUCAAGACUUCUCUUCAUGUCUUUAAUGGAUAGGGCAUGAAUUCAUUUAUCUAUAACUUUAAUUCACUCAAAUAACUCUCUAAAGAAUCAUAUCUAUCUUGCUUCUUAUUUAAUUUUACAUAUCAAACCUUACCUGUUAGCACGUGGAAUAUUGCCCCACUUUUUUGAUUUCGAGUUCUUGUAUUUUAAUUUGAUUUUACAGUUAUGCAUUAGGAUUAAAUAUAUCCGAUUAGAUAUCUCAUUAUUUUUUUGCAUUUUGAACUUUUACCAAAUACUACAGUUGAUGAUUUCAAAACUAGGAUAUGUUUGUUUUUAGGGGAUAUGUAAUUUCUUAAGCUUCAAAAUUUAGUACUAAUAAAUAUAUUAUUUAUGAAUUAUUUUAUUAAAAUAAUAUUUAUAUUUAUAAUGAAUACUAUUAUUAAAAUAAUGAAUUUAUUAAACGUGGACUCACAGAAUCUCAGGAAAGAGGAUCCAAAUUGAGGGUUCGAAGUCUUAAAUGAAGUGUAUACUUUUUGCUCCUCCUUUAUUUGGCACAAUUCUAGAGCUUGUAACUAACUAUAUGAAGUUGAAAAACUAAAUAUAGAACCGAUUUUGCUGUGUAUGGAACAUCAAAUUAGCCCAAUUGAGAUAUGCAAAGGAUUUAUUCUUGGUCGCAAGAAAUUUUGCUAAUCCAGAUGAUGAUGUGUUUGUGAUAUUGUGCAGAGUGUUUUGUUGAAAAAAAUUGGAAAUAUCCAAUUUUCCAAAUGUUGAUAGCGAAUUGAAUCAUUCCGGAAAUUCCAAGUCUCUUAGCCGAACCAUCCUGAAAAUACAAUUAGGUUUCAUUAAUUUAGAAACUUUCUUGUCUCUUUCUGAGACAGUAUUUUGGGGAUCUCAGAAAAUUCAACCAUGAACAGAUGCAGAGAUCUAAUUGUCGUCUAAUUUCUUUUGAUUAAUGUUAUCCUUUAUGUGUGGGUGCAUGAGAGAGAGAGAGAUGCCACUCAUGCCAGGUAAGUAACAAGUGAUUAAGUGGCUGAUAUCAUACAAUUAAACAGAUGAUUAUACCCAAUAAUCAUGUGGUCCAUUUGCCACUUGGGAUGUUGGGCCACCCAAAUCAAUUUAAUCUUUUUGCAAGGAAACAUCAUUGUAUUUUGCCUGGAAAGUCAAGUUUGCCACCUAAUUUCACUUCCCAAAUCCAUCCUUUUCUUUUUUUCAAGUUGGGCGACACUAAUAAUUGAAUCUUAAACCUAUCUUUUCAUGCACAUAAAAUUCAUCACUUAAAUGUUCAUAAAGGGAACCCAAACUACACCUAAAAUGUGCACUUUGAUGUGUAACGAAACUUCAACUUCGAGCUUCCAAUAUAUAUAGUCUAUGUGAGAAUAACUAUAUCUCUAGUUAUCUUCUUCUAUAUUAAAUGGUUUAUUUCAUCAUAAUUAAGUGAAUAAGGUAAAAGCCACGGAAAUAAGAACGAGAAACCUUGAGGAAUAAGGAAGCUCACAAGUCACAUGCAUGUAAACAUAUAUAGAUAUAUAUCAAGUUUAUUUUUUUGACUUAAUUUUGGAACUUUACUACGAGUAGAUGAGGAAAGCACCAGAUUUGGCAAUAUAAGCUAGUUCAUUAAGAUUUGGAAGUGUGAUUUUUGGGGAAAUGUAUGAGUAAUUAAUUAAUCAACACCUGCAUUUGAGUUUGCCGAAACUGAGCCUUCAUUUCAACAUCUCUGCUUCAAAAAUACCAACUGUAACACACCAUAAGCUAUGCAACUAUGCAAGAAAUUGUUGUUAUUAUUGGACCACAGUUGAGAAAACAAUCAGCAGGAUUCCUUCCCCUACUUUCAUCUUGAUUAUGACUUUUACUUGGAUUUUUGGUUAGAUUUAAUGCUUUUCAACACUGCUUGACUUCAAUAACAUGAGUUGAGGGACUUUCAUAGAUUAAUAAUGGAUUCAACGUCAUUUGAUUUUUUUGCAAAGAUUGUGUAUCUUUGUCAGCCAACACAUAAAAUAAUUAAGAAAUGCAUGUUUUUGAGCUUUUAGUUAAUCAAAAGUAUGAAUUGAUGACUCUUUUUAAGUAGAUGCGGAAUGUGGAUAUAAUGUUUUUUUUUUACUUGUUCAAAUCUAGCUCUCCCCAUUAGGUUGUGGCGCGUGCAGUACACGCGAGUUUGGAGCGUGGGGAACUGGACAGGAUAUACCCACGUACAGCUUCUGGUAGAUGUGGCGUACGUGAAUUUUAGAGUUUGCAUUUUAUUCUUUGCGACAAACAUCGUCGAUCGAUUUCACCACAAAAUAUGGGAGGAUGCCUUCUCUAUCCGCAUUCCGUUCUUCAAUUUCCGUCCGUCUCUGCAUUCCGGAAACCAUAUUUUCCGAUUAGAGGUAUAAUCUCGGCUUAUCUCUUCCGUUAUUUGUAUGCCCUAAUUUUCGAUUACGUUAAUUCGCCGCUGUGUAGUCUCGUUCUUUGGCAAAUUGCAGUAGGUAUUCGUUGGCUGUGUUGCUAAUUCAUUUGGGUGGUAGUAGGCUCCUUUAGGUUUUACGUUGGAAGAUAACGAAAAUUUUAGUACUAGUUUUGGUGAAGAACCCCUCAAUCUGCUGGCCAAACGGCCUUCAUUUCUGCAAAUCCCGUUUCAUACUGCCCAAGAGUUAUCAAUCUCAAGGAAUUUGGUGCAUUAGGUCAUUACAUUAUCAAAGCACUGCAUUUUAGUAAUAUAGGGUAUGCUCCUGAUAGGUGGAUAUAGUUUUUACUCCAUAAAUUCAUAGUUUACACUUGGUGAAUAGUCAAUGUAGCAUAUAGCAUAGUUUACUAGGUAUAGCACUUGCAUCAAUCUCUUGUUUUUGCCCUGGUUAUGAUUUGCACUUGGGGACUUCAAUAGAACUGUGAAUCUCUUACCAAUUUUGCUAAUGUAUGUUUAUUCGUUAGCACUUUCAUGUGAAUCUGCUUCCAACACCAAACUGAGGUAUCAUUUCUUGAUGCAGCUUGUUCAAUUUGGCAGAAAUAUCUGAUCGAUCUUUGGUAUUGAGCGUAAGAGCUGACGAUGGAAAGAAAGGGAGGCAUAAAAAGAACCCUUAUUCGGGAAGGGCACCUAAAACAGAGGGGGCAGAUGAUACUGCUCAGUCUUUUGAGGGUAAAUCAUCUCUGUCGCCUAACAAGGAAGAAAUCCUAGCCCUCUUUAAGCGAAUACAAUCCUCUAUCUCCAAAGGGGAGACUGUAAAUCCCAAGAAGAGAACUUCCAAGACUGUUGAAGAUAAGCCCUCACCCUCGGCUGAAUCAAUUCUCGAAGUUCUUCAUCAAUCAAGAACACAACGUAAAGGUUAGGCUGAUAUAUACUUUUUUAGCAGAGAGAAUAUAGGGUUCGUGCCAAUAAUCAGAUUUGUGAUGUUAAUUAUGUGGAUUGUCACCAUCAUCUACUUGGAAAUCUUGAUUUAUCUGAAGUUAGUGUUUGUUCCAUGACAGGGAAAUCUGUUGGCAAGAAAGGUGAUAAGUUCCUUGACACUCAAAAGGAAUCUCUGAAGGAGGAGAGUGCUGCAGAGCAUAUAUCAACAAGGCCGCCAUCAAGUUUCACCCGGAGGUCUCCGAUACCCUCUCUGUCGAGCCCUAGAGAACAAGUUCAGUCGGGAAAUGAAACAAUACCAGCGACACCCACUGAGCUGACAAAUGAAAUAUCAGAAUCAAUAGACGACGACAGUGAUCAUCAAGCCAUGAAGUUGGCGGAGAUGAAACUUCCUCAGCUAAAAGAAGUUGCCAAAUCCAAAGGGAUCAAGGGUUAUUCCAAACUCAAAAAGAGUGAGCUCGUGGAGCUCCUAAUCAAGUCGCUGACCGACGCCUCUCCGUGAACAGGAGGCCAUUUCAGUUGUUCAAUGACCAUUAAUCCUUGACUUCCAUUCCCCCCUUUUUCAUUUCCAUAUUCGUUAAUUUGUUGAAGGGUGCUUUAGUUUGUUAAGAAUUCUUCAAUUCACUCCAAAAAAAAUGAGUAUUUGAUAUAGCCAUUGCUGAUUUUGUGAUGAUGCUUGAUUGAACACACAAUAUCAAGAAUCAAAAUGAAGCUACUGAGAGUGUUGAUAUUAAUUUAGGGAAAUGCAGAUUAAAUCAGAACAAAUUAACCCGAAAAAACCAAGGGAGAAUGAAUGCUAUAACUAGACAAGCCAUCAAGAAAUUACAAAGCGGCUGGCCCUGCAAACAUCGUCUGCUUUCAUCUGAUGUGCCGUUGCUCCCAUCGCUCCAUCUCCUCUCGUUCCACUCCGCCAUGAAACUGCUGUGGCCAACACCACUUAUAUUUCUUGCAGCCUCGCCACAUAUUUCACACAAUCUACAACCCCAAUUUCAAGAAUCACAUCAACCAAAAGAGAAAUCAACCAAGCUAAACAUUUAAGGCAAGACAGAGUUACCUAUUCCCUUUAACUCUAAACCAAGCCUCGGCGCAUUGCAAGUGAGCAAAUCCAAGCUCACCUUUACAUCCGCAGCCAAGCUCGAUCAACUCAACUGCGCUCUUGCCAAUGUCCUUUGCACUCAAAUGGCAUACUCUACAGACCUUCUCAUUGAGCUCGAUCAUCGAGCAAGACGAACACGCCUCGUUUCCACCUUCCAAGUCACUGCCGCCUAUUGCAUCACAGUUUCCAAAUUUCUUGAACUACCACAGUCUUGUUCUUGAUCCAUUGGCCUCUCUCACACAACCAAAUGACAAAAUGCAGAUGAGUUAUACAUACUUUUCUUGACCAAUGGGAAGGCAAAACGUGGAGGGGUGGUGGUGGAGUUCCAUUAUUGAUAAAACAAGUAUGAGAAAUAUGUAGACAACAUUAUUUGAUCUGGGAUAUCAGUCUGUCGCUCUCAAAACCACCCCUUGCCUUGAAAGUUGACUUGUCUCUCUCUAAUCUACAUAUUUUUUGAGAAGCUAUCUAAUAUGUAGAGAACAACUUAUUCUGUCAGAGAUUAUUAAAUGCUAUAAAGCACGCAUGAUAAAUAACAAAUUCUGAAGCAGACAUGAAUUAUUGGGUUGUUAUAAGUUAUCCCCUUGGUGAAGUCUAAUUCGAAUUGUUUACUUACCGUGUGUGCACAGAAUACACCAAUAAACACACAAUAUAUAUGCAAAUAAAAGACUGUUUAGACAACUGUAUUUCUGUAUAAUGAUUGGUGCCGAACCCGGAAUUGGCUGCCAUACAAUGCAAUCGUAUUUUGAGAGAGAGAGAGGGUGAAGCAUGUGAUUUUGGACUUUUAUUUUUCUAUGCAAGUAUUUCCCAGUUGUACACGUCUCGAAUAAUUGAAUUAAUCUUCAUUAUCUGUCCUUUACGUGACAGCUUAAUGCCAUCAGUAUGGAUAUAUAUUCCAACUCCUAAGAAAAGUUUACACCAAACAUGGUAAAUAUUGAUAUAUUUUUUCGAGUUUUCGAGAUAUUUUAAGGAGACGUUUACUUUGAAGGAUUAGUCUUGAUAGAUAAAAAUAUUAAGUUUAAUUCAUUGUUUACUUUGAUGGAUACAAACUUUAGGAUAUCCCAAACCUCUUUAUUAUUUAUUACUAGUACGUCCAUCCGUGCGAUGCACGAUAAAAUCGAAAUUAAAUGGCAUUUUAAAUAAAUAAAUAUAAAUAUUAAACAUAAUCAAAAUAUAAAUAAAUGCAAAUAUGAUUUAAAAAUAAAAUAUCAAUAACUCAAUAAAAUCCCGAAUUUAAAAACAUAAUUUUCAACUAUGUAUAAAGUGUAAUGAUAAUUAUAGUCACUAAAUAAUUUUAAAUUAUUUGAUAACAAAAUUAAUAUACACAUUAUUAUUAUAUUCUAAAUAAAUAAAAAAGUUGUAAAAUUUUAACAAAGAGAAAGAAUAUAACAUAUUUUAAAAUUUUAAUAACAUAUUCGUUUUGAAUUCAUUUUUGAUGAUUUUUAUACCAUAUUAAAGAUCUUGUUACGAACUUAAACUUAAAACGCAUAUUGAAUAUUUAUUCAUAAAUUAAAUUUGAUGACAUUUAGAAAAUAAUUAAAAUUAUAUAAAAAAGAUAAAACAAAUAGUGAAAAAAUUGAUGGGAGAAGAGAGAGAAAACUCCUCUUUUAUAUACUCCCUCCGUCCCGUCCAAGACGCUACAUUUGCUUUUCGGCACGGGAUUUAAGAGCAUCCGCAUUGGGACCUCCUUGAUAGCCUCCUUGAUAGCCUCCUUGAUAGUGUUUGUGUUAUUGAGUAGGUAGUGCUGCAUUGGGGUUCCUUGAUAGCCUCCUUGAUAAUAUUAGUUUUGAUUUUAUGUUUUUCAUUUAAAUUUUAUUUCUCAAAUUUAAAUAACACAAUUUAUUACAAAUUUANAUAAUAUAACUGAAUAACGCUAAGAAGAAACUAAAUCAAGUUCACUUGAGCUACUACUAUAUCAAUUUCAUUUAUUAAGAUAUUCAACAAAAAAUUAACUCAAAAAUAUUUGGCCCAUUCCAAUACAUAAAAUUACUUGAGGUUUUCAUUUGCAAAUAUUUCGCUUAUAGAACACGUAUAUUUACAAAAAUUUAUUUAACAUUUAAUAUUACAAAAUUCUUAAUUUGAACUCUUAUUUCGCAAAAUUACUAACCAAAAUUUGAACUCUUAUUUCGCAGCCUUAAUAUUGCUACUAAAUAAUUAUUAUUGUUCACUAAUAGUAAAGAAAGAUAAUAAUGAAUAUGUAAAUCAUAUUUACAAAUAUAUUAAUUAUCUAUGGGCCAAAACAAAAACGUUUAUGUGCUAUACUGGGCCAAACAAAAUAACAGGCCAAAAAAACAAUUGGGCUCAAUCUGUUUUAUACCAUUUCAAAUUUUAUACUAAUAUUUUAAAGUCUUUAUAAUAUUAUAAUAAAAAAAUUAAAUAUUAUACUUCUUCUAACUAAAUAAUAUAAAUGCUUUUUUAUACAUGUAAAAUAUAAUUUAUAUUAUUUUUAUAGUAAACAAAAACAUUUAAAUAUUACAAUUUUGCUAAUUAAAUAAAAAACAAUUUCUAACUAAAUUCUUCUAACUAAAAUUUAGAAUAGAAUUUAUACUAUAGAAUUUGUAUUUUACUACCACUUAUUAAUACCGAUUCUUAUUAUUUUAAAUACAAAAUUAAAUAUUAAAUAUUAAUACCGAUUCUUACUAAACCUUUAUGUAAUUAAACGUUGUAAACAAAAAGGGAGGGAAAUUUACUACUCAUUAAUUAAAACCACUUAGAGCAUCCGCAAUGGGGUUCCUUGAUAGCCUACUUGAUAGCCUACUUGAUAGUGUUUGUGUUAUUGAGUAGGUAGUGCUACAUUGGGGUUCCUUGAUAGCCUACUUGAUAAUAUUAGUUUUGAUUUUAUGUUUUAUUUAAUUUUAUGCAUAAUUUAAAUAACACAAUUUAUUCAAAUUUAAAUUGACAUUAAUUAUAAAAUCCUAAAUAUUACAUAAAACUUUAAUAAAAUAAAAACAAUUCAUAAAAAUUAACUACUCUGGCCCUAGAGGUCCGAAACGUGCCCAAAGGUGCUCAAUCAAAUCAUAUCGGAGCUGAGCAUGUAGUUGCCUAUCUCGGAGAAGGCUAUCCCUUCGCACAUAUUCCUCGAAGGCACCGUGUUUGUCCAGCACUCUCCGUCGAACCACUGCUAGAUGCCCGUCAUCAUCUCUCCAGUUGGCAGCUGCUUCACCUUCGUGCUCCACAAUCAUGUUGUGGAGAAUGAUGCAACACAACAUGAUGUCCUUCAGGUGCUCUACGUACCAAUUGCGCGCCGGACUUCGAAUGAUUCCCCACCGAGCUUGAAGGACUCCGAAGGCGCGUUCCACAUCUUCCGUGCCGAUUCUUGCAUCUUCUUGAACCUUGCCUCCUUCGGAUUGUGCCAUUGAUGGACUCUUCACGAAGCAACGCCACUCCGGAUAUAUGCCGUCACACAAAUAGUAGCCCAUCCGGUAUUCGCGCUGGUUGGCAUGAAAGCCACCGGCGCCGCAGUUCCUCCUAAACGUCGGAGAAGAGAGGAGCUGAUUCAGCACAUUGAGUCGUUGUUUGAACCAGCGACGCCGAAGAAGGCGUGCCAAAUCCACAAAUCGAAGAGGCAACGCCUCCAAUAUCAAGGUGGGCUCUCCCUGAUCCCCGCGUGUGUAUGCGCCGUGCCACGCCUUUGGGCAGUUCUUCCACGCCCAAUGCAUGCAGUCUAAGCUCCCGAGCAUCCCGGGAAAACCAUGUCUCGCCUCGUGCAUUCGGAUAGGCGUUGCACGUCUGUUGCGUUGGACGGCGCAGGUAAUGGGCUCCAAAAGCCCUAUGACCGCCUUGCAGAACUUCUUUAGGCAUAGACGACCGGUUGAGUCCGCCACUUUGAGAUACUCAUCGAACACAUCCGACACUAACCCCGGUGGCUAAUUGGCGGAUAGCCGACGUGCAUUUCUGCAAAGGAGAAAGAGAAUCUCGACCGAGUGCAUCAGUGCUCAUAUGAAAGUAAAUAUCUUCACCUUGAACAGCAUCGACGAUGCGCAAGAAGAGCUCCUUCUGCAUGCGAAAUCGACGCCGGAAAAAAGUAGGGCCAUACGUUGGAUUGUCGACGAAGUAGUCUUGCAUAAGACGUACAUGGGCCUCUUCACGAUCACGGUGGACGUAUGAUCGGGGACGUUUCGCACGCGCCGGCUCCGGCGCCGGUUGGGGGUAGUAUGAUUGAAGCACUUGUUUCUGCAACUCAACCAACUCCAUGAACUUUUCAGCGAUUCGUCGGAAUCGGGCGAUGAAUCAUGUUCAGGUGACGACAUUUUUGGAAAAAAAUUGUAGGAGGAAGAAGAAUGAGUUGUGAUGAAUGAAAGUGAGUUGUGAUGAAUGAAUUGUAGGUGAAUGAGUUGUAGGGAGAAGUAUUAUUUAUAGAGAAAAAAAAGAAUUAAAAAAAAAAAGGAAUGAAGAAUAGCGUUAGAAAGAGCGUUAGGAAAGAAAAAAAUAAAAAAAAAUAAAUAAAUAUAAUUAAUAAGUAGUUUUUUUUUUUUAUUAUGGCGGUGCAAGCACGCGCCUACUCGAGGCUCCUCGAUAACUCGGAUCCUCGAGGACCCACGCGCAUCGCCCUCCUCGAAGCCCCAUCUCCUCGAGACCCUCGAGUACCCGCGAUGCGGGUGCUCUAAGGAGUUGUAGAUUAAUGUUUUAAGUGUGUAAUAAUAAAGUGAUAAAGUAGGAAAGAGAAAGUAAUAAAGUGAUAAAGUAAGAAAGAGAAGGUAAUAAAGUGAUAAAGUAGGAGAGAGAAUGUAAUAAAGAAAUACUUAAUUAGUGUUAAUUAAGUGUUUAAAAUUCCUUAUUUUUGCCAAAUAUAGAAAUGUAGCAUCUUCGUUGGGACGACCCAAAAAGGAAUAUGUAGCAUCUUGGGACGGAGGGAGUAUUAUAUAGAUUUAAAUUAGUUUUGCUUGAUUCUUAUUUCAUUGAAAAUGUAUGAUUAGAGAAAUCCUACCAUUGAUAAUAAAAUAAUUUUUCAGAAUAAGAAGCGGAUUUGAAUUUUUAUUUUUUUUUAUUAUUAAGAAAUACUAUAAUUAUAUUCCCGAUUGAGUUGGCAUGCCCCAACCCAAAAUAAGAAGGCAGUUUUGGGUUGGGCUGGGCCGAAGAAUUUGAGGCCCAACGAAAAACGGAGGGAAGUUCAACCAAAUAGGGCGGUAGUUGAGUUGAGUCAGUUGAAAAGGGCCCGCGAAAGACACGUGUCAACUUUGUGCUAGGCGAGAAUGAGUGGCCGCUUCAACUUCAAGGGUUGUUCUUUUUUUUUUCUAUGUUGCGCUCAUCGUUCAAAUUCUUCAAAAUAAAGCAUGGAGAUUUUUUUUUAAGAAAUAUAUGAUGUUCGGUGAGGCGUUGCUUUUGCCAAUGUGAUUUAUCGUCUGUUUUAGUUUUGAAAAUUACAUAAUUAUUAAACUCAUAAAUACACUAAUAAAUAUAAUGAAUUUACUUUGCACUUUGUAUGUUGGUUUGAUCAAUUUCCAUACCUUUAACGUAACAGUCGGCAACAACUGAAACUUAACUUGCAAUCUCUGCUUAUUCUUGAUGUUUCUCCUUCAUCUAAUCUACUGCUCCAUUUUCCCACCCAACUUCCAUUUUUUCCUCAUGAGCUAGUGGAACCAAGUUACACACACACACACACAAAAGAAAAAAGGAAGAAAGAAAAUCAAAGCUACGAGGCAAGGUGCUUUGGUUUGUUCGUGAAUUCUAAGGUUGAUAAUAUGUCUAAAGAUUAGUUUAUUUAUUUGGGGCGGCGGUUACUAGGAAUUUUCUGUGCAAUGGUGGAAUAAGAAAGUUGUGAUCUUAGCUAGAAUUCUAAGAAGUUUUGAAGAGAUGGGAAAGCAAGGCCCUCGUCCCAAUUCUUUAAGCUUUGAUGCUUCAUCUGGAUUGAAGGAAUAUGAGUUGAGAUGGAGUGCGAUGCUGCUCAACGGCGACCCUUCUCGAGGUAGGGACAGAGCUGUGUUAGUUAAAGGAUUCAAGAAUGAGUAUGCCAAGUUCAGUGCUAGUAAAGGAGUUCACAGUGGCAAACGCCACGCGUGGUGGCUUCGUAGGCACAUGAGAUCUGUUAUAUUCACCUUGGCGUUGCUCGGAUUCUUUCUCGUGUUAGAUUCAUUUAUGUUUUCCUACUUUGAUCCCACUUUUCUCAACAACUCCCCCACACCACCACAAGCUCAUGCACCAAAGGUAAUAAAACAGAUGGGAAUAUCCAUGGCAGUUGAGUUCAUUUCAGCUGCAUUUAUAUUGUCUGUGUAUUUUGUAGGACAUAAAUGCUGCAGAUGAUGCAAAUGGAAAAGGGCCUGUCAUGUACUCUCGGCUGGUGCAGAUGGCGUCCGUUUCACUUGCAAAGGUCUUGAUUCAAAACCUAGGAUUCUUACUCAUGAUGUUCUGAGUUGAAACUUGAAAGAUGCAUUAAGAUUGGUUUGUUUGCUCUACAGAGAGAUUUAGAACAAAAAGUUUCCAAGUUUUGGAAGGAAACACAUCAUGAGGCAUCCACUUGGAGACCCUGCGCGGAUAAGAACCAGAAAAGGUGCAUCUAUGUCCUAAUUUGUGUCCAUGCUUCAAAUCUUGUUUAACCAUUCAUGUUUGUCAGGGCAGGGACGGCAAAAAACACCACCGGCUUUGUGCUGGUCAGUGCAAACGGGGGCCUAAAUCAACAGAGAGUCGCUGUACGUGCAUUCAUGACUGUCUGCAGCUCAAGAUUGUGGACUGAUUAUUUGCAUUGUGAGUUGAGAGAUUUUAGGCUUUUAUCUAUUGUUUGUCUUAGUCUUUUGCUGCUGGCAAUUUGUGCAGGUAUGUAAUGCUGUUGCUGUGGCAUCUCUACUAAAUGCAACAUUAGUAAUUCCCAAAUUUCUUUAUAGCAAUGUGUGGAAGGAUCCCAGGUGACUAUGCACUUGUUAUUUUCAUUAUUCCACUCUUCAAGUUUUAUCUACAAUGGUUAUUUGCAGCCAGUUCAGUGAUAUUUAUCAAGAGGAGACCUUUAUGAACAUGCUGAAGGAUGAUGUAGAUAUUGUAAAGGAGCUCCCUCCUCAUCUGAAAUCGACUGAUUUUGAGGCCGUUGGCAGUCUAGUACGUCGUCUAUUCAACCUUUGCAGUAGCAACAACUGGUUUCUGCAUAAAAACUGUCUUUAACUUAAAUUCUGUUUUUCAGGUGACAGAUGCAGACCUUUCAAAGGAGGCAUCACCUGAAGAUAUAUACGAAAAUAUUUCCCAUAUUAUCCGUAAUGGAGUUGUUCAUUUCCUGGAUUUGGCAAUAGACUUGGCUUCGAAUCAUGCCUUCUGAUCUACAGGUGAAUCGACACAAUGCCAUUUUCGUUCACUCGUCUCCUUGUCUUUACUGUUGUUUCUGAUGGGGNAAUGGAAACGUAAGUGCAGAAACUCAGAUGCAAAUGCAAUUCCAUGCAUUAAAGUUCGCACCAAAAAUUCAGAAACUCGGAGCCUUAUUGGUGAAGAGGAUAACAACUAUGGAGCUUCAAGAAGCUUGUUGGACAGACAGCUUCUUGGAAGAUUCAUUUCAACGGAGCGCAUCAAGGCAGCAAAUCCUUCCAAAUAUCUUGCAUUGCAUUUGAGGUUUGAAGUUGACAUGGUGGCCUAUUCUAUGUGUGAUUUUGGGGGUGGAGAGAGAGAGAGAAGACAGCUCCAAGCAUACAGAGAAGAGCAUUUCCCUCUGCUUCUCCAGCGUUUGAAGAGAGCAAAGUAAUGAAACACAAAAUGUCAAAUCUUGUAGCUUUCCUUAUACUACUAAAAAACUUUUUCCCUUGAAUGGCUGCUGCAGACCUCCUUCUCCCACAGAACUGAGGAAGAUAGGGAGAUGCCCUCUUACACCAGAAGAAGCUGCACUUGUUCUAGCUGCUCUUGGAUUCGACCGUGGAACUUACAUCUAUCUUGCUGGAUCCCAAAUCUACGGGGGCGAAUCGAGGAUGCUUCCCCUAGUCAGCCUCUACCCCAAUCUGGUAACAAAAGAGGAUCUCCUCUCACCCACUGAACUCCAGCCUUUCAGGAAUUUUUCAUCUCAGGUAAAAAAGAGAAGGCUUUUUGCUUUUUAACAUACAAAUUUGAUGAGUUGCAUGAAUAUUGAUUUCUUUGUUGGUUAAUUGAUGCAGCUUGCAGCAUUAGACUUCAUUGCAUGCGGCGUUUCUGAUGUAUUUGCCAUAACGGACUCGGGGAGUCAGCUGUCGUCCCUUGUGUCUGGUUUCCGGACAUAUUAUGGUGGAGGAGAUGCCCCGACGUUGAGGCCGAGCAAGAAGAGGCUGGCAGCCAUCUUGCAAGAGAACAGCACCAUCAGGUGGCAUAGUUUCGAGAAGAGAGUGAGGAAGAUGAUCGAGGAAGGCCAGAGAGUGACUCUCAGACGCCCCGGCAGAAGCAUUUAUCGACAGCCUAGAUGCAGAGACUGUAUGUGCAGUGAUGAUGAGGAUCAAUAGUAGUUCAUAUUCUGUCACAUUCAUGAUUAAUAAAUAAUCUUCCUGUGUAAUUUUGAGAGGAUAAUGAGAUUAAAUUUUGUGCUUGAUUGAUGAUUGCCUAAAACACACACAUUGGAUGGAUUAAACUGGAAUUAACCCAAGCAAAUGAAAAAAUUAGUUGACAGGGUGAUUCUGUCACAGUGACAAAAAACAUGUGAUCAUGAUGGAGGGAAGAAUCUGUUGAGAUUGAAAGGGAGGGUGUAGAACUCCUCGUUGCGAGUGUCGCCUUUGAAGGUUCUGAACUUGGCCCACCAAGGCAUGCCGCGCUCCUUGGCGCUGUCCUUGUAGUCGAGGGUGUUGUCGAGGAAGACAGAGACGAUGAGCGCCACGGUGGGGGACGACAAGAAUAUGGUGUUGAGGAGAUCAUUGAACCAUCCAGCCUUGGUGUGAGCAGGCCCAUGAAGAGCAGCACUUGUGUAUUCUCUGAAGUACUCGGGGAUCGACAGCCCCAAGAAGAGUGACACCCCAACUAUGAACAGGUUCCUCAUCGAGUUCAUGUUCGUGAACUGCAAGAACGACAGCCCCACCGAAGCUGCAACAAACCAUUCAUUCACAUUUUGCCUUGUAACAACAACAACGACGACAACAACAACAACACGAAGAUAAUACUCACCAACAAGCCCGAACAUAACGCAAUAGAUAGCUGCAAAUAUAGUGAAAGGUAUUGAUGCAAAUAGUGCACCAAACUUCCCUGCACACACCAUUCAAACAUGUCUUCAGAUUUUGAUGGAUAUGACGAUGAUGAUGAUGAUGAUGAUGAUGAUGAUGAUGAUAGGCUUACCUAGAAUAGCAAAGAAGAUCAUGAAACCAGCCGAUAUUUGGAUUACACGUCGACUGCCAACUCUAGUGCUUCCAAGAAGGCCAACAUUCUCACUGUCUUGUUUAGAGAGAGGUGAGACAAAGUUAUAGACCAAUCAAUCCCAUUGAGACAGAUUGAAAAGACUUACACAGAAACUGUGGAACCAGUAAGAGUCCCGAACAUUCCAUCCAGCAGGAUCCCGAGGCCCUGCCACCCAAUCCCGCGGCUAAGAACAUGAGCAGGAGGCGGCGUCGCACUUGCCAAACGAGAUGCUGCCUUGUACGCUCCGGUUGACUGCACCACAAGAUUGAGUUGAGAGAGCCAACACCAAAUUACAAAAAGAAAAAAAAAUAGCAGAUUAUUAUUAUUACUGACCUCAAUCAUGGAGACUAGUACAGCAGCCAUCAUUCCAAAUGCAUGGCCAGCAUCAAAUGUAGGUGCACCCCACUGAAGUGGAUAUGGGAUCUUGAUCCUAUUUCAAUGAAGAAGAGAUAUAUGAGUUUCCCAUUUCAUCAAAUAUGGUGUUAUGUAUAUGUUAAUGAGCUAACCAGGGUGCAGAAGAGAUGAGGUUAGCUUUGUCUGUGCGGCAAUUCCUCUGAGUUAACUCGGGAUGAUGCUUGUAUGCGCCGCUUGCUGUUAGGAGGUGUGCAUAAGCCCAUAUAACUGUCACCGACAGCAGAAGAGCAAACCGCUCCAACACAGGGAUCUCUCUUGUUUGGAAGUGCUUCAAGUACUAUUCAACAAUAAACAACCCCUUUUUAGCAUCCACCAUCAUUCUUUAUUUACUACCAAAUACUAUUGACAUCUCACAUUACCUGAGAGAAGGCAAUGAAUAAGAUCAGCAUUGGAAUGCCGAUUUCCACGCAUCGUCCAACCUGAUAAACACUUGAUCAGUUACACUUAUCAAGAAGGUGAAACUCAAACAUUGAACAUACCACUGGAAAGCCUCUAUCAAGAAGACCAAAUCCCACUAGAGAAAUAACUGGAACCAUCCCAAGUGGACUGAAAAACCUGAAGGAAACAAUAAAAGAAAGUAAAGAAACCAUUUUUAUUUCAAUUAACUCGAGAAAUAAGAGUUGCUACGUAUAGUAUGCUUUAUUAUCUGAGUACAUACCUGGAACAUAUAGCCCACAGCUGACUAUAGCCCAAGAUAAUCUGCACGCUCGAAGCUACAAUCAAUGCUCCUUGUAUUGCUCUCAUUGUAUUCAUAAAUCUCUACAAGUAGCAAACAUUCAAAUUAAUCCAUAAUUAGUAAGUAGAGCAGAAAUACACAAGUUGGUUGUAUCAAACAUACCACAUGAGGGUCUGUGAUUCUUUCCAAAGAUGGAUCAUGGAUUAUUGAAAUUAUAGGCACCAUGAAUGCCCAUGACCCUCCUAUAACAGUAGGUAACCUGGUUCCGAACAAAGUCUGCAGCAGUGUGUUUAUUCCUCCAACAAAUAGCAAUGUCUGAACCACUCUCACUUUAUCAUCCUAACCACAACCAAAAAAAAAAAAUACAUAAAUGCCUAAAACAAACUGUGCCUUCACGAUUAAGUAUAUGAAAUAGUGGAUUACAUACAUCGGUUCCGCCCAUCAACGGUACAAGAAAGGUUGGAAUCAUGACCGCCGUUCCCAACGCCAAAAUAUAAUGCUGAAAUCCAAGUGCUGUUGCUUCCCCUGUUUUCAUAUGCUUAAAUUAUUAAUACAAAAAUUGUUGAUGAAUUCCGACGAAAGGAACAAGGAAUGGAAGAGGGAUCAUCGUAUUCGUACCCCAAGAAGGAUUAGAAUCGAUGCAAUACUCCAAGCCUUGGAGUUGGUCCAUCGGUGGAUGACUUAUUUCCUCUGGUUUUGGAGCAGCCAUCACUGCUAACUGAGCUCACUCACUCUCUCUCUCCCUCUCAACUUUCCUAAAGGGAUUCAACAAAUCAAUAAUAGAGGAAGAUGUAGUGAUGCAAAACAAACAAAGUCUUGGUUUGCAGUAAUGCGGUGUGAGCUCGUGAAUUAGAUAUCCAAAGUGGGGGAAGAAAAGCAAAAGGAGGAAUGAAUACAGAAAAAGAAAAGCAGAAAAAGUUGACACAGGUAAUGAGACAGUGAAUGUGAUUGGACCGUAAUCUUGUGUAUAUAUAUGAAGGAGUAGAGGAGUGUGAGUGAGAGGGCAAUCGCAAAGCCCACUCUUUGAAGAGUUUCUUGAUUUUGCUUUUUUGUAAUUUUCACUUUAUUUUGACAGUGAAUGUUCCGUUAACCUGCCAUUAAUUCCGAUAUUGCCCCUCGAGGAACUGCCAAACCAGAUGUUACCGUUAGACCCUGGAUUUCUGACUCUACUUAUCCUUUUUUCUUUUCUUUUGCUGACUGUGUAUCUCUUCAUUUAUUUUUCAUUCUUUUAUUUGGUGAGCUCUACUUAUUUAGUAACUUUACAAAAUUCGGGAGAUUUUGAAUGCUACAAGGAAUGUAUAGUUUGCAUGAUUAAUACUCCCUCCGUCCACUUCCUCCAAAAAAAAAAAAACUCCCUCCGUCCAUCAAAAAUAGUCUUAAAGAUGACCGACACGGGUUUUAAUAAAAAUAAUUAUUGUAUUGUGAGUGAAUAAAGGAUCUCACUUAAAUAGUUGUGUUUAUAAUGAUAAUUAAUUGUAUUGUGGGUGAAUAAUAGAAACUAUCAUGUGAUAAAUAGUUUCCAAAAAUGAAAAUGAAGUAGUUUUUAUGGACAUUCCAAAAUGGCAAAAAUUGACUAUUUUUUGUGGACGGGGUGUAAGAUGUAUGAUUGAGCAUUUCUAUACUUAACAGUAGAGUUUCUUCAAUUUCAUAUUUUUAAUAAGAUAAAAAUCAAAUAAAAUUAACUUAAAUGAUCGAAAUAAUUAAGGCAUUGAAUAUCUCAAAGUUCUAAUCUAUCAAAGUAAACAAGAGAUAAACGCUCAAAAAAGAAGGAAAUGGAGUUUUUAUUUUUUUAGAAUAAUAUUGAUAAGUGAAUUUUAUUCAAUUACACCAUCAAAUAAAGCUUAAAAUGUCAUCAACUGCUCGCAGAGAUUUUGUAUAAUUUAACAGCAUGUGAAAAGAUGGUGGAAAAGAUUGGAUUUUUGUAGAAAAUACGGAAUUUACUUUGUGAUUGCCAAAAGUUGAAAAGAUUCUUUCGACGUAAUAAUAGUAUUGUAUUAGGUUGAUUCCGAUUAAAUUACAAUCUAAUCCGACGGUGUGAACCACGGAUCAAAAUAUCAACGUCUCUCUCGCCACUGGAAACACAAAAAACUGCUUUGGUAUUCGAGCUCCUCUGUUGUUAUUUGCAAUCUCUCUCUCUCUCUCACUACUUUGGUUGCAGACCGAAGGCGAAAUUCAUGGCAUUUAAGCCUCCUCUCUCUCAGCCCAACAAACAAUUCAAAGAAAGUGGCCCACUAAUGCUACUCCACUUUGUCAUUUUUUUUCUUUUUCUUAUUUAAAUGUGAAAAUGGUAAAACCAACAAUGGCAUCGAUAUUGCAAAUUUUACUUGGCAAUCAUGACAUUUUGGGCAGUGUUUAUUUGGAUUUUGAGUACGUAUGGUGGUAUUCGUACGGCUAUAAUUGAAUCAUUAUGAAAAUUACGGGUCGCCAGCAUAGACAUGCGUUAUGCCAUACAAAUUGAAUUUAUUCAGACUAUAUAGUACACUACUUAAAGCAGAAAGAUCAUCAAGAAACUGCGCGCAAUUUUAUUUUUAUUUUAAAAUGAAGAGUAAUUGGGAGAAAUUGAGGUUUCAAUUAUUAUUGUGUAUAAAUAGUUGAUAUUAGGUACAAUUUUUACAUAACUAUUUUUCUAUGUACUCGAGUACGUGUCAUUUUGACAAAAAAAAAGUCUUGAACCUGAAUAAGUUCUGAAGAUAUGCUUAUUUUGUUCGGCAUGAAUUUUAAUAAAUAUUAUUUUCGUCUCAUUUAUCUUGACACAUGUGUUUUGGACACGAAGAUUAAAAAUAAAGGGUUAAAAGUAUAAAAUGGAUAGGGUCCAUUUAUUUUAUGUGUAUAAAGAAGCUAGAGAUCACAUACUAUUUUUGAAAAGUGUCAUUAUAAAUGGAAUAAAUUAAAAAGAAAAUUGUGCCAAAAUAAGUGGGACGGAUGGAGUAUUAGAAAAAUGCAAAAUUGUCCAUUUUUUGUGAAUGGAGUAGAGAAAUAAUAGUGAGUCUUAAUAACGGUGGUGUCAUAUCCAAAAAUGGAUUGUGCAUACUUUUGGUAGGUGUUUGGUUUGAGUGACAAGGCAUGACUGAUAAAAUUAUUCAAUUUAAUUAGGUAUUUGAGAUGCAUGAUUGAACAUGUGAUCGAUAACUCAAGCCUGCAUCUGAUCAUUCAAAUGAGUAAAUUAUUUAUCACCCUCCUUAUAGGAUAAACAAAAAAAAAGGGAGCAUUAUAUUUUAAAAUUCAAUGCAUAACAAAAUGAUGUAAAACUUGCUUUUCCGCUUGUUUAAUUUUCCAUUACUAUCAUAAUAUUGCAAACUCUUCAUAUUUUUCAUAAUAAUUAGAAACAAAAGAGCAAAUUUCCUUACAUUGAUCCUCCAACUUCGGCCUCUUACUUAAAGGCAAAGAGAAAAGACGUGCUUAGGGAGCGGCCAUCUUCACAGUGGGUGGAAAAAGAGUGCACUAAGGUUAAAAANAACAAUGUACAACAACUAGCAAUAAAUAUAAAGUAGGAGAUUGGUUUGAUAAAAAANAAUAAAGUAUGAGAUUGGUCUUCUUUUCUGCUUUGAUUCCAUAUCAUCAAUGAUGGCAUUUGACUGCUGACAGUGACACAAGAUGGAUAUAGAACCAAUUACAACUCAUCAUGACACAAAACACACGAACAGCAUUGGCCCAGAAAAUAUAUCUCUGAAAGAUUAUAUAAACCAAGGCAAUAAAUUUCACAAAAUCAACAACCGUUGAAAAAUUAAAUAGCAAAACGUUACCUGAUACUCACUGAACUAUCCCACCCCAAAAAUUGUUCCGAAUAGAGACAGCUCAGGAUCAAGCAUUUCACUAUAUGUCGAUUAUCCUGAGUGUACAACUUUCGAGUAUAUACGAUCCAUUAGUGUAACCACCAAAAUACUGGAUUGAUGUCAUCUAAAACUUGCCGAUGACCAUGCGUAUAACGUAUGUUCUGAAGAUAGGAUACGGUCUUGAAAUCUUCGUGACUAGCCGAUCCUUAUGGUUAAUAUGGAAGUCCAGGCCUUAUCAUCAAAAAGGACAACUUCACUAUCUUCUGUCCGAUUUUCUAUCACUAGAUCGUCUAUCUUCUGCUUCCUUCCUUCUUUGUUGCCUGUCAUCAAACCAAAUUUGACUCGUUACCUAAAUACUAGAAUAUUGCAGAAUGCAAAGGCAUUGUAAUUGUAAAUGUAUCUUUUAACACCCAAGCACCUAAACACAACUGAACAAAAACCAAUGACUGAAGGGAUCAUGCAAUGUACACAUUUUAAAACUCAUUCCCAAUUAGAGCAGAUUAACGUAAAGGGAAUAAUACAUGGAGAUAAUACAGGAAAAAAAAACUCCCAAUUCUCAGAGGACGACUUACGCAAAUGCUGAGUAUCCACUACCAGCUUUAGCGGCAGAUAGGAGUGCUGCAUGAGCACCAACAGCAGAAAGAUUUUCUUGAGCGGUCAAAGAACUCUUUUGGUCAACAUCCACCUGAAACCCAUUACAUUGAAAUUGAAUUGAUUAUCUCAAACACAUAAUAAGCUUUAGAGCUGCAAAUCAUUUCCAAUAAAACAAAACCUUAUCCCAUUUUGACUUUUUGUUCUGUCUACCAUCCCGAGCCAUGCCGUCUGAAGUAGCUGGUGGUACAUUUCCUACACCAUAAACAGCAGUCAAUCCCGAGAAGACGGGCUAAAAUAAAAAUCUAAAUCAUCAAGCGGAAGUCACAGAGUAAUAUAUGCCGAAGAGUAAGACGGGUACCUGGAGUUGGUAUGUUGAUUUUUGAUGUAGGAAGAACAUUUCCCGGUUGUACUCCUCCAGGAGUAAACUCUAACUUCUGACUUUUUUUCCUUUCUUGCUCUUUCCUUUCCAUUUCCCGUCUCAUGUCAACUUCUAAUUGCACAAUCAAAAGGGGAAUAUCAGAACAGAUAAUAUGGUUGCUCUUCCCCAAGGAAAAACGCCAAUUAAAAUUAAUAAGAUAAAAUCAACAGCAACUGUACAAUCAGCCAGCAAAAUUCAAAAGAACUACUAACAAGUAACAACCAAAGUUAGUAAAACAAUAAGACAUAGACAAACGCUAAGUGCAUAAUAGUAGGCAAUGUCUCAGAUCCAUCAUUGUAUAAGCGGAAUGGACUUCUUUUUUUCCAAUAUCAUGGAAAAGACCCUUGUGACUAGACACUGCAUGAAGGCCCCAAAAUCUCUCAAAUAAUUAUCUCAAGUGGAAAAGAAUCUUCUGACAAAUUCACCCAUCACAAGUUUAUGGUAACAGUAUAUACAAGCAAUAAUUUAAUUCUGAAAGUUAUUAGGUGACAACUAUAAUCAUGAUAAUAGUAUAGAUGCCUAUACAAACUUAUUAUCAUAAAUUACACUAUUACUCAAGGUGCCGCGUGAUGUAAAUGCACUUAAGAAGUAAGAACAAAGCAGACAACAUCUCAAAAAAACAAUUACCCGCCUCCAACAGAAAAAUAUCAUGUCCAUGAACCAAUUUGCACGUGAAUACAUGUGGCAGACACAUAUCAAACCUGUGAUUCUUUUGCAUGAGGGGAAUAAUAAAGGAGAAAAAAGGAAAUGAUAGUGAUGUGCCUAUCUCAGUGGAACUGGAACCAGCAAUAAGUAUAUGGACUUCUUGUGCAAGAAAAAAUCUUUGAUUCUUGAUCAUGAAUUGCUGCUUACGAAGACAAAUGCAGCUGCGGAAAAGUGAAACAACAAUUUAUUCUAAGACCACAAAACUUAUACUCUAGAAAUGUUUCUUUGUGUGAUUCAAUUUUCAGAUCAAACUAGCCCCACAAACAUAAUUUACAUAUUUUAAGAGGCAACGCAUUGAAACUUCAGGCUAAUUUUCCAUGGAAAAUUGGCAGGUUUAAACCUGCAACGUGUCUAGAACUUGAUGUAUAAUAUAAAAUCCACAAGAACUAGUUCCUAAUAAAGCUGUGUUUAGAUAGCCAUUGAAUAUAACUAAUAGAGAAAAGAGGCACUAUAUACGAAAAUCAAACAAGAGGAAGCUGGGAUCUAACACUCACAUUUAAAUUUCAUAAGCGAUUAAAUAUCUCAUGAUGGUUUGACUAUGUUUACUUAUAACCAAAAACCUAAAAUCGUAUUCAAUGGCCACGGUAUCAUCCAACUUCAUCUUCCACAUAAAAUGUUGUGGUCAAUCGAUGUUGAUUUACUUAAUCUUACAAGCAUUAGAUUAACUCGAGCUAAUUGUAAGAUAAUUAGUAGUUCAUUUUUCACUUCUUCAUGCCCCCAACGUAUAUCAGCUUAAGAUUUGAUAAAUACACUCCGACAAAAAACCCAUCUAGGCAUAGGUGGUCUUUUGUGGGGAAAAAUCAUAUAAAACUCUAAAUUCUUCUCAUGACAGCUAACAAUGAGAAUACAUGUAAGCUAAAUCGGGGAGACUAGCAAUCAAACCUAUUUCAUCAUAAAAGUCGCUUUUGUCGUAUCCAUGAGGGUCAAAUACAUCUUUACGGAAGCAGGAUCCUAUCUGAUCAAUAUCUUGGUAAGUCACAGCAUGCAGCAGGAAAUCAGGAUUUCGAUAUUCCUUUCUAUUCCGCACCUCUGCAUUAAAGCUUCUUCCAGUAGUCUUCUUUAGAGCAAGAAACCUACUAAUCUUCUCCUGAAGCAACAAAUCAGAAAUAAAAAUGUAGAUAUCAAGUGAAAGCUGAAAAAAGAAGAUUCUGCAGCAUGACAUAAAUAAUCUAUUCUAGAUUAGGGUUUAGAUAUUAAGUGAAAGCUUCUUCCAGUAGUCUUCUAGACUGACGUACCAAAAUGUGAGAACAUACAGCACAUUAAUAUAUUGAUUAUCAAUCACACCCCUUGUUCUGCCUAGGUGUCUUAAUUUCUGCAUUGACAGCAGGCAUGCUCUAUUCCAAAAUGAAAUAUGCAAGAGCAGAACAAGAUAGAAUCUAAAAAAUUUCUAAGGCACAUUUCAGACAACCUUUAGACUAUGUUUGAAAUAAUACAAGGUAAAGAGAUAAACCAGCAAAGUGUUAAUGUUUCUGACAUUCACCAACCAGAAGCUUAGUUUCACUGAAUCACAGCUAAUCCCUUCACCUAUUGGUUGCCACGCAGGAAUUUCUAAGGCACAUUUCAGAGUAACUUUAGACUAUGGCUUGUCUCAUUAACAUUAAUUUAUUUUUCAUUAUCCACUAAUAAAAUCAUCCUUCUUAUGUAGCUUUACUUAUUACACGUGAUGAAACCACAUGCAUUACAGGCCUCAUCAGAAUACACAGCUAAUUAAUGUUCAAAUGCCAGGACCUUGCUGAGCAUCAGAGAAUCAUGAAGUGGUAGUUUUAUUUAAGUUUUUGUUCAAGUAGAGAGUAAGCGCUUACUUGUAGUUCUUCUGAGCAUUUGGCCUUGGGAGGUGGGGGCAAAAAGUCGUCCAAUGGAUCGACAUCCUUUUGAUCCUCGACAGAACCCAUAACAGCAUCCUCAGUCCCUGCAGCUUCUGAUUCAUUUGUAGCAUAAUUCAUGGCAUCUGAUUCAGGCUGAUCAGCUGGCUCCAAUGAUUGGGGGGUUGCACCUUGAGUGCUAGGUGUUGGAUGCCGAGCCAUACCUGGUGAUAUCUUUUCUCGUGAUUCACCUAAAGCACAAGCAGUGACUGUAACAAAUGUUGGAAAGACAUCAAAGAAACUUCAAAAUGUUCUUUAGCUUGUAUGUAAAAGCAAGUGAAGUUUUCGAACUCCACAGUCAGUGGCUCAUAGUAAUUUCAUAAUAUAUAAUGAACCACACAAUUGUCAUAUUGUCUUGCCCUAAUUUUUCCCUAGUCAUACACCAAAAGAAAAGGACAUAUCGUUUUAAGAAACUCAAGACAUGCAUUAUAGAGAAUAUGUAGGGUAGGAUUGAAGGUAUAACUAUGACAAUCAAGAACACACAAAACAAUACAGUUGGAGUGUAGAGACUCUUAACCAUUUGAUUUAUCAGCGCACCAUACUUCUAAACAAUGUUGGGUUUAACGAUUUUUAUUUUGCUAGGGAUUUAAACUUCAAUAUUACACCACAUCAUAAUCCUAGACAUUAUAUCGAGUUCUACACAUUUUAUGCAAGAAAAUUCGGAUAAAUACAGAAGCUACAGGAGACAGUGACGACACUAUUUAGAUAAUCAAAAGCUUCACGUACCAUCACUACUUUGAAGUUGCUCUCCAUACGUUACUCGACCAGUUGCCAUGAUUUCACCUUCCUACAAUUAUAUAAGUUAACAACCUAAUUUCAGAAAAUAAAAUAAAAUACGCCAUAAACAUAAGAACCUCUGCUUCCGGAGACAUCGCGCCCUCUUCAUGGCCAUAAUCCACAAUAGUCAGUCGACUCUUUUGGCUCUGAACAUUAUUCAAAUCCGAACUAAAAUGUUGUGCUUGCAUCCGCUCUUGGGGCGAGAAGAGAUUUUGCUGCGGAGUCGCGGAUGCUGGAGGAGUGUAGUCGUUGAAUUGACCUCUCUCUUCCUGUUGCCGCUGCAUUUGUUCAUUGCCGUAAUCGUUAAUACCAUCAUUCUCGUUCACGGCGACGGCAUCCGACGCCGGCGGGGGAAUUCCAUCUUCAUGAAUGUUUUCUACUUCCUCAUCGAGUUCUUCCAUCUCGUCAUCUUCGUCGCCGUACAUCGAGAGCAACGCUAUCGCCCUCCGACGCCUUCUUCUCGGAUGCCACUUCCCCCAAAUUCGAACCCUAAGUUACUGGUAUUCGUUUUCCUUCUUCUUCUUCUCUUUCUGCUGAACCAAAACUAUCUCUCGAUAGCCAAUUAGAAAGAAAUCGAGAAUUUGUGAAAUUAGGGUUUAAAUUUACAAUCUGGUCUUUACACGAUUGUUCGUGAACGAAAAGAAAAACAGUACAAAGAGUGCAAUGGUGUGUGGUACGUAGGGCUGGUAAUCGGUCCGGUUCGAUUAUAACCGAAUCGAUUUACCGGUUAAUCAGAACCGAUUAAGGCUGAAAUUGAUAAUCGAAAAUCGAACCGAUUUUUGGUUCGGUUAACCGAUUAAUCGGUACGUUUACGUCGGUUAAACCGGUACCCGAAUUAAUCGAUUAACCGAAUUAACCGGUUAAUUAUAGAAAAUUCCCAAAAAAUUCUAAUAUUUGGUACUAAAGAAGGAUUCGAAAAAAUCACGCCUUUUUCACUGAGAAUUAAAAAUUACUAUGUGAAGCAGCCUCUUCUGUCGUAAAAUGACAAACAANCGCACAGUCUCGGAUCGUCAGCCAUGUCACUCUCAGUACUUGUCAACUAAAAUUGAGUCGGUUUCUUCUUCACAGUCUGAUUCUGUCUCCGAGUCGUGGUCUGUUUGGGCAAACAGAACCUCUUCCGCAGCUACAGAACUGGAUUUCUCUUCGACGAACUGUUCUGGUCGAAUGGGAAGCUAAUAGAGAAAAGAGGCACUAUAUACGAAAAUCAAACAAGAGGAAGCUGGGAUCUAACACUCACAAUUAAAUUUCAUAAGCGAUUAAAUAUCUCAUGAUGGUUUGACUAUGUUUACUUAUAACCAAAAACCUAAAAUUGUAUUCAAUGGCCGCGGUAUCAUCCAACUUCAUCUUCCACAUAAAAUGUUGUGGUCAAUCGAUGUUGAUUUACUUAAUCUUACAAGAAUUAGAUUAACUCGAGCUAAUUGUAAGAUAAUUAGUAGUUCAUUUUUCACUUCUUCAUGCCCCCAACGUAUAUCAGCUUAAGAUUUGAUAAAUACACUCCAACAAAAAACCCAUCUAGGCAUAGGUGGUCUUUUGUGGGGAAAAAUCAUAUAAAACUCUAAAUUCUUCUCAUGACAGCUAACAAUGAGAAUACAUGUAAGCUAAAUCGGGGAGACUAGCAAUCAAACCUAUUUCAUCAUAAAGUCGCUUUUGUCGUAUCCAUGAGGGUCAAUACAUCUUUACGGAAGCAGGAUCCUAUCUGAUCAAUAUCUUGGUAAGUCACAGCAUGCAGCAGGAAAUCAGGAUUUCGAUAUUCCUUUCUAUUCCGCACCUCUGCAUUAAAGCUUCUACCAGUAGUCUUCUUUAGAGCAAGAAACCUACUAAUCUUCUCCUGAAGCAACAAAUCAGAAAUAAAAAUAUAGAUAUCAAGUGAAAGCUGAAAAAAGAAGAUUCUGCAGCAUGACAUAAAUAAUCUAUUCUAGAUUAGGGUUUAGAUAUUAAGUGAAAGCUUCUUCCAGUAGUCUUCUAGAUUGAAGUACCAAAAUGUGAGAACAUACAGCACAUUAAUAUAUUGAUUUAUCAAUCACACCACUUGUUCUGCCUAGGUGUCUUAAUUUCUGCAUUGACAGCAGGCAUGCUCUAUUCCAAAAUGAAAUAUGCAAGAGCAGAACAAGAUAGAAUCUAAAAAUUUACUAAGGCACAUUUCAGACAACCUUUAGACUAUGUUUGAAAUAAUACAAGGUAAAGAGAUAAACCAGCAAAGUGUUAAUGUUUCUGACAUUCACCAACCAGAAGCUUAGUUUCACUGAAUCACAGCUAAUCCCUUCACCUAUUGGUUGCCAGGCAGGAAUUUCUAGUAACUUUAGACUAUGGCUUGUCUCAUUAACAUUAAUUUAUUUUUCAUGAUCCACUAAUAAAAUCAUCCUUCUUAUGUAGCUUUACUUAUUACAUGUGAUGAAACCACAUGCAUUACAGGCCUCAUCAGAAUACACAGCUAAUUAAUGUUCAAAUGCCAGGACCUUGCUGAGCAUAAGAGAAUCAUGAAGUGGUAGUUUCAUUUAAGUUUUUGUUCAAGUAGAGAGCAAGCGCUUACUUGUAGUUCUUCUGAGCAUUUGGCCUUGGGAGGUGGGGGCAAAAAGUCGUCCAAUGGAUCGACAUCCUUUUGAUCCUCGACAGAACCCAUAACAGCAUCCUCAGUCCCUGCAGCUUCUGAUUCAUUUGUAGCAUAAUUCAUGGCAUCUGAUUCGGGCUGAUCAGCUGGCUCCAAUGAUUGGGGGGUUGCACCUUGAGUGCUAGGUGUUGGAAGCCGAGCCAUACCUGGUGAUAUCUUUUCUCGCGAUUCACCUAAAGCACAAGCAGUGACUGUAACAAAUGUUGGAAAGACAUCAAAGAAACUUCAAAAUGUUAUUUAGCUUGCAUGUAAAAGCAAGUGAAGUUUUCGAACUCCACAGUCAAUGGCUCAUAGUAAAUUCAUAAUAUAUAAUGAACCACACAAUUGUCAUAUUGUCUUGCCCUAAUUUUUCCCGAGUCAUACACCAAAAGAAAAGGACAUCGUUUUAAGAAACUCAAGACAUGCAUUAUAGAGAAUAUGUAGGGUAGGAUUGAAGGUAUAACUAUGACUAUCAAGAACACACAAAACAAUACAGUUGAAGUCUAGAGACUCUUAACCAUUUGAUUUAUCAGCGCACCAUACUUCUAAACAAUGUUGGGUUUAACGAUUUUUAUUUUGCUAGGGAUUUAAACUUCAAUAUUACACCACAUCAGAAUCCUAGACAUUAUAUCGAGUUCUACACAUUUUAUGCAAGAAAAUUCGGAUAAAUACAGAAGCUACAGGAGACAGUGACGACCCUAUUUAGAUAAUCAAAAGCUUCACGUACCAUCACUACUUUGAAGUUGCUCUCCAUACGUUACUCGACCAGUUGCCAUGAUUUCACCUUCCUACAAUUAUAUAAGUUAACAACCUAAUUUCAGAAAAUAAAAUAAAAUACGCCAUAAACAUAAGAACCUCUGCUUCCGGAGACAUCGCGCCCUCUUCAUGGCCAUAAUCCACAAUAGUCAGUCGACUCUUUUGGCUCUGAACAUUAUUCAAAUCCGAACUAAAAUGUUGUGCUUGCAUCCGCUCUUGGGGCGAGAAGAGAUUUUGCUGCGGAGUCGCGGAUGCUGGAGGAGUGUAGUCGUUGAAUUGACCUCUCUCUUCCUGUUGCCGCUGCAUUUGUUCAUUGCCGUAAUCGUUAAUACCAUCAUUCUCGUUCACGGCGACGGCAUCCGACGCCGGCGGGGGAAUUCCAUCUUCAUGAAUGUUUUCUACUUCCUCAUCGAGUUCUUCCAUCUCGUCAUCUUCGUCGCCGUACAUCGAGAGCAACGCUAUGCCCUCCGACGCCUUCUUCUCGGAUGCCAUUCCCCCAAAUUGAACCCUAAGUUAUGGAUUGUUUUCCUUCUUCUUCUUCUCUUUCUGCUGAACCAAAACUAUCUCUCGAUAGCCAAUUAGAAAGAAAUCGAGAAUUUGUGAAAUUAGGGUUUAAAUUUACAAUCUGGUCUUUACACGAUUGUUCGUGAACGAAAAGAAAAACAGUACAAAGAGUGCAAUGGUGUGUGGUACGUAGGGCUGGUAAUCGGUCCGGUUCGAUUAUAACCGAAUCGAUUUACCGGUUAAUCAGAACCGAUUAAGGCUGAAAUUGAUAAUCGAAAAUCGAACCGAUUUUUGGUUCGGUUAACCGAUUAAUCGGUCCGGUUUACGGUCGGUUAAACCGUACCGAUUAAUCGAUUAACCGAAUUAACCGGUUAAUUAUAGAAAUUCCCAAAAAAUUCAAUAUUUGGUACUAAGAGGAUUCGAAAAAUCACGCCUUUUUCACUGAGAAUUAAAAUUCUAUGUGAAGCAGCCUCUUCUGUCGUAAAUGACAACAAUUCUUAUAUAAUCCUAGUGAGUGUCAAAAUCAUCAAUUAAAUUGUUGAGUGUAAUUAUUUAUGCGAGAAUUGAAUUUUAAAUUUCACAAGGACUUUCAAAUCAAAUUUGUCUCAGUUUGAAUCGGAAAGAUAAAUUCAUUUUGUCAUCAAUUCAUUUAGGCAUGCCGGCGACAACUGUGGAACUAACCUUUCAAGUUUCAGCAAGCUUUCGAUUGCUGGACCGCCGUAGGCUCUCAGGCGUGGACUCAAGGCCGAAGGCGCUCAGGUGCAGACCGGCGACGUGGGUUGGAAGAUAAUAGUCGAUGCGCCGGUGAGAAGAGGUGCUCACGACGUGGCCGGCGCUGCCUUCUUAAUUUCCCUCAACCCUCGCAAAUCCUCGCAAGAAUGGAAUCAGCGGCAAAUUGGAGUUGAAGUCUGGAACAAAAGAAGUCAAAGAACCGAAGCCCUAUUCAGAUUUGAGAUUUCAGCUAUUCUUAAUUUUUUUUAAUUAAGUUACAAUUAAAUAAAUAUAUAAAUUAUUUAAUUAUAUCUAAACCGGUUAAUUCGGUUUUAACCGGUCGGUUACCGGUUAAACCGAUUAACCGGUUAACACAAAAUCUCCUAACCGAUAACCGAACCGAACCGGAUAACCGGAAUUUUCGGUUCGGUUACGGUUAUAACCGGAUAACCGGAACCGAUUUAUCACCCCUAGUGGUACGGUAUACCCGUAUGGGUUUAGAUUCUUUAAAGCAUUAGCACCGGGACCACCUGAUAGAGAGGGACCACAUUGGGUCAAGGAGACUGCAGUGGGAUGACAUGAUAGCUGACCUGAUCUUUUUAGUUUUGAUUUUUUUAUUUUGUAUUUAAUUUUAAUUGAAAAGAUUUAAAUAAUACAAUUUAUUUUAAAUUUAAAUUGCAUUAAUUUUAAAAUCCUAAAAAUUACAUAAAAAAUUACAUAAAUCUUAAAAAUUUAAAGACAUAUCCUAAAAUAACUAUUCCGGCUUUAGAGGUCUGAAACGUAUCCAAACGUGCUCCAUCAAGUCAUGUUGCAGCACAGCAUGCUUGUGAUAUAUUCAGAUCACACGACAAAGAUAAAUUUAUACCAAGUAAAUCAUGAUCUUCCUUAAUAAUAAAAUAUUUUAUUUUCAUAAAUUAAAAAUAACUAAUUAAUGUACUAUACCAUUAAUAAAGAAAUAUCAACUCCAUCAUAUUUUUAGUUAACUAGAAGAGCCCUUUGUUGCAUGUUAAUAGUUAAGGUUAAAAUAAAAAAUAAAUAUAUGUAUAACUAGUUUUUUUUUUAAUGUAAAAUGAGAUUAUAUAGUAAUUUAGUAUAUUUUUAAAAAAUUAUAAUAUAUAAUAUGCUAUUAUUCUAUAAUAAUUACAUAAUGACCUAUUAAUAAAUUUUAUAUAAAACAAAUAGAAAUGCAUAAUUUCAGAAAUUAAAAUAUUAAAAUUAAUAAAAAAAAUAGAAAAAUGUAUUUAAAUAAGGUUUCUAGUUUCAAAAAAAUAUUAGUACUUAAAAAUUUAAAAUAUUUAAUAUAUUAAAACAUUGAAUUAUCAUAGCUUGUUCAUUGUAGAUCUAUUUUUUUACGUAUCAUAUAUCAAAUUAAAGGUCAUUUUAGCAUUUUUCGUUCAAGACAAAUAUAUAUUUUGUUAAAUGAAAAUGAAAAAAAAAAUAGUGCUCUUCAAUCUCUAACAAUUAAUGUACUUUAAAAAUGAUUUUCAUCAAUGAAUCGUCGAUGCCUACCGUUGGAUACGCCACCACAUAUAAUUUAACGGUGGCCAAAAUUAAUUUUGGUGCCUGAAACCUACUUCUCGUCCACCAUUGUAAGUUGUAACUCAAUGGUGGAGCACUAAUUGAUUUGCUCGAAGUUGAUUCAACGAUGUCGUCGAUGAUUUAUUUUUAUUUCUUUUUUAUUUGAGCUUUUUUUCAUAAUAUCAAUAUUUUUAUUGUAAUUCUUCUUUAUUUCUUACUUCUUUAUAUAUUCAACUCAAAUAUAAUUCUGUAGUUUUUGUCGUGAAAGUGCUUUUUUUAUUUAUUGAAUUACAAGAUUUCAUAAUUUAAACAUACGACUUAAAGGUAUCUAAAAUAUCUAAAUAAUGAAAUAUGAUAAUAUUGUGUGUAUGUGUAUAUAUGUAUAUUAAUAAAAUUAUAUGUAUAUAUAAAUUAUAAUCUUUUACAAAAUCUAAGUAAUUAUUUAUUUAUGUAGUUGAAAAAUAUUGAAGGAAAAGAGAGAAAUAAAAUCAAGAAGUUAUAAUCUUAGCCCACUGGCCACCGGGUCCUCACUUAAGUGAAGUGACCCGGGUUCGAUCCCUCUUGGGAGCGAAUUUGGAGAUUGGAGAUAUAAGGUGGAUUUUGGUGAAUGGAGAGAUAAGGUGGUUCUUGGAGUGGAUGGGGAACUAAUUACUAACAUCUAACAUGACUUUGCCCGAAAAAAAAAAAAAAAAAAAAAAAAAAAAAAAAGUGGAAAACAUAAUAUUUUUUUUUAAGAGAGCGUUAAAAUAGUUCGAACUUUAAUCUCAUGAUGACUUUUAAAUCUUAAAUUUAUGAAAAUUACAAAUAUAGCCUAAACUUAUUUACGUUGUUAAGUUUAUAGCCCAAAUCAAAAUUUCGGCUAACUGAGGGUUGAUAUGGCUCGUCGAAAGCUGACUUCAAAAUUUUAAAAAAAUGACAUUAAAUUUUUUUAUCUUUAUGUCAGCUACAACUGUCUAACUGUAAAUCAGAUUAAAAUUUAAACUCUUAAGUGAAAUAAGUACGUUUGCGAAUGAAAUUUUAACUCAGGUUAUAAACUGAACAACCUAGAUAAAUUUAAGCUUUAUUUGUAAUUUUUAUAAAUUUGGAUUAAAAAAUCACUAUAAAGUCAAAGUCCAUGCUAUUUUUUAAAAUAACCCUUACAGGAUUGAGAAAAUUAUUUAGCUAAGCUUAAUCAACAGAGUUUGUAUUCAUAUUUAGUUGAUCGAAAUUUGAUUUAAUUAAUAAUAAGAAAAUUGGCUUUUUAAGAAAAAAAGAAAGAAAAAAAAUAGCAUAAUUACUUCUAAUGCCAAAAAUUUGAUGCAUAGAUAUUGUUAAGAUUAGCGAGAAUUAAAAAAAAAAUUCUAAACUAAUUAUGUAGAAAAAGGAAAAAAGAAACACAAAAUCUUCCAAAUUCAAAUUCAACCGUCAAUUUGUAGAAGGGUACAUUAGUCAUGAAAAUUGAUAAUUAGUAGCUGAAUUAGUCCCUAAAAAACUGAACUAAUUUGGUAUAAAUUUAGGGGCACUACGUAUAUACAUUAGGGGUGAGCAUUCGGAUUUCGGAUCGGAUUUUUGCCUGAUCCGAUCCGAUCCGAAAAUCCGAAAUUUUCCUAAAAUUCAAUCCGAUCCGAACCGUAUUAUCCGAAAAUCCGAAUCUGAAAAUUCAAAAAUUUCGGAUAAAAUCCGAUCCGAACCGAAAAAUCCGAAAUGUGAAAAAAAAUUCGAAAUGUCAAAAAAAAAAAUCCGAAAACCGAAAAAAUCCGAAAAAUCCGAAAUAGAUGUCAACCUAACGUAUUAGAUAAUUACAAUCAAAUUAAGGUCAUAAUUAACAAGCCAUUAAUUAUAAUCAACCAAAAUGGGAGUAUAGGGUUAGAAUUUAGGAAUAUUUAACUAUUUAAAAACUAAUGAUUAUAUAUAUUUAUUUAUAAUAUUAUAAUAUUAAUUAUAUUAUAAAUAUAAUUCGGAUUUCGGUAAUUUUCGGAUUUUUUAAGGUGCCAAUCCGAUCCGAUCCGAAAAUCCGAAAUUUGCUUAAAAUUCAAUCCGAUCCGGUCCGAAAAUCCGAAAAAUCCGAACCAAAUUUUAAAAUUCGAUUUGGUUCGGAUCGGAUAUUCGGAUUUCGGAUAUUUUGCUCACCCCUAAUAUACAUAUUAUGUAGGACUAGAUUAAUUGAUAUGGAAAAUGAGGGAAAUUACUAUUGUAAAUAAUAUUAUUUAUUAUUUAUUGUACAUUACUUAUUCAUAUAUAUAUAUAUAUAUAUAUAUAUAUAUAUAUAUAUAUAUAUAUGAUGGAACGGUAAUAUACAGUUUUUAUAAGAAUACAGAAUCUGUUUCUCUCUUCUUUCUCUCAUUCUCUUCUCUCCCUGAAUCUUUCAUUCUUACUUUUGAAUUGCUUGCUCAAGAAGAUAUUACAACACGUUAUCAGCACGAGUCUCUAACCAAUUGAGUGAACACGGAGAUAGACCAUAAGAAAAAAUCGUGUUUUUCUUGCAAGGUAAUUUAUUUGUUUUUGUUUAUGGACCAACAAUUCGACUUUAUGCGAAAGUUUGAAGAAUUCGACUUUUAAUCUGAUUGUGUGUAAUUGUUUUGGUAAAAAAAAAAAUUUCGGAAUGAGUGCGCUUUAUUCGUGGAUUUUUUUUAUUGUUCAAACCUUGUGAGCAGAAGUAUUACCACGAAUCCACGCAAGAAGUUUGAUCUGGGAUUAAAAAUAUGUGUGCUGCUUCGAUUAAAAAACAUAGUGAAUGGAGUUUCUGAAGUUAAUCAAUUACCCUACGUUUUCAUCAAACCUUUCUUCUGAUACGUUUGGGAAUUAGAAAUAAAAAAAAAUGAAAUGAAUAGAUUUCUAUGUGUAAUGUGCUUUUUAAAUUGCAGAAACUUUAUUUUUACUCGCAAUCAAUUAUCAACUUCAGUUCCUUAUAAUAGUCAGAUUGGAUAGUCUCUUAAUUAAUGGAUUGACUUCUGAUAGUAAAUUGAAUGUUGGAAUUCGUUUUUAAUUGUUAAUUGUUAAAUAUAUAUAUAUAUAUAUAUAUUUAAUUUAAUGUGUUGGGAUAGACGUAUUAAUUUCUUAAGGAUCUUCUCCCUACGGGAUAGAUAUUAUUACGUCUUAAGGAUCGUCUCCCAACUAUAAUAUUUAUUGUUUGUUAUUUAUUAAAUGAAUUGGUUGAAAAAUAAUUGUGUAUAAUUGUUUAUUUAUAGUUUGUUAUUUUCAUUAUUUGUUAUAGUUUGAAUAUGUCUGAUAUCAACAAAAGAGAAUUCACCGAGCUUGCUCUUGAUGGUGGUAACUAUUUGACUUGGGCUUUGGAUGUUGAAAUAUACCUCGCCUCAUGUGAUCUGAGCGACGCUAUAGUUCCAGAUUCUUCAUGUAGCUCCGCCCAGAAGGCGAAAGCUUUGAUUUUCUUGCGUCAUCAUCUGAAUAAGGACUUAAAAAAUGAGUACCUUACUGAAAAGGAUCCUGCUGUCCUAUGGCAAUCCCUGAAGGAUCGCUUUGAUCAACAAAAGGCCAUUAUUCUCCCUCAGGCACAAUAUGAUUGGCUGAAUUUACGCUUUCAGGAUUUCAAGUCCGUGAUUGAGUACAAUUCUACCUUACAUCGUAUUGUGUCACAGCUGAAACUCUGUAAGCAAGAAGUUACAGAGAUUGAUUUGAUAGAGAAGACUCUAUCUACUUUUCAUGCCAGUAACCUUGUACUCCAGCAGCAGUACAGGGCCAAGAAUUAUACUAGGCAUUCUGAACUCAUUUCUGCUUUACUUGUAGCAGAGAAACAUAAUCAGCUUUUGAUGAGAAACCACAAUGCAAGACCAGUUGGUUCACAAGCAGUGCCUGAAGCACAUGCUACCACUUAUAGAGGUGGUCGAGGGAGAGGCCGAGGAAAAGCGAAUUGGUCACAACGUGGUGGAAGAGGUUGGUCCUAUAGAGGAGGUCGAGGUUGAGGUCGAGGUCAAGGUCGAGGUCGUGGAUACAAUCAUGUUGCUAGAUUCCAAAGUCAUGGGAAAAGGAUUUCAUAAGACAUCGCAUCCACAAGAAGCAAGUACAUCUCAGCUAACUCCAGAAACACAACAAACUUGUCACAGGUGUGGGUGCGAGGGUCAUUGGGGUCGUACAUGUCGCACCGCCAAGCACCUCGUUGAAGCAUAUCAAAUGUUGCAAAAGAACAAGAAAGGCAAGAAAAUUCGAAGUGAAAUACAUCAUGCCAGUUUGCCUGAAGCAAAUUUGGAGUUUAAUGCCGAUGAUGAUGAUUUAAUGCAACUUGAUCUUGAAGAUUAUGGAGAUCAAAAGUAAUUUGAUUUAUUGGACUAUUCAGACAUUUUAGGAUUUUAUUUAUGGUUCAUGUUUUAUUUGCAAACUUUCAGUAAUUUAGUUUGUUUUUGUGUGUUUGCAAUACUUAAAAUUCUAUUAUUAUUGUGACCUAUUUGCUAUCUUUAUUUGCUAUUUUCUUGAUUUAUAUUCUACUUCUUUGCUUUUAGAAUGUCAAACUCAAACUUGCAACUCAUGGAGAAUGAAAGUACAUUGUGUCUAGUGGAUAGUGCCACAACACAUACUAUACUUACUGAUAGAAAAUAUUUUCAAACUCUUACUGAAAAAAGGGGGAGCGUCACUACAAUUGCAAAUGACAAUAUCCUUAUUGUCGGCUCUGGAAGAGCUUCUCUAAUACUCCCUAUGGGUACAGAAUUAAUUAUCAAUGAUGCACUUUUGUAUCCACAAUCAAAACGUACCCUUCUUAGUUUUAAAGACAUCCGACUAAACGGUUUUCACAUUGAAACUGAAACUGAUAACAAUAAUGAAUUUCUGAUCAUCACUCAGAAUGUUGGAUGUAGAAAACAAAUUCUUGAGAAGUUCCCUUCUUUCUCCACUGGGUUGUAUUAUACUCACAUUAAACCUAACAAUCAUGUUGCGUUAAGCAUAAAAUUUAAAGACCCAAAAUCUUUUAUAUUAUGGCAUGAACGAUUGGGUCAUCCUGGGCAAAAUAUGAUACGUCGGAUUAUUAAUAAUGCUAUUGGGCACAAUAUACAAACAAAAGAUCUAUCACCUUCAAAUGAAUUUGUUUGUGAAGCAUGUGCAAAAGGUAAGCUUAUAGUACGACCUUCUCGUACCAAAGUUAAAUUAGAAUCUCCUUCUUUUCUUGAACGAAUUCAAGGAGAUAUAUGUGGACCAAUUCACCCGGCGUCCGGACCAUUUCAAUAUUUUAUGGUCCUAAUUGAUGCUUCUACUCGAUGGACUUAUGUAUGCUUAUUAUCUACUCGCAAUAAAGCAUUUGCAAAGCUUAUUGCCAAAAUAAUUGAAUUAAGAGCUCAAUUUCCUGAUUACCCAAUAAAGUCCAUUCGAAUGGACAACGCUGGUGAAUUCACAUCAAAAUCUUUUGAUGAAUAUUGUAUGUCAUUGGGUAUCAAAGUGGAGCAUCCUGUUCCAUAUGUCCACACGCAAAAUGGUCUAGCUGAAUCCUUAAUCAAACGUUUAAAACUAGUAGCUAGGCCAUUGCUACAAAAAUCAAACUUACCUAUUACUUGUUGGGGUCAUGCGAUUUUGCAUGCUGCAAAUUUGCUCCAAAUCCGACCAACUGCAUAUCAUGAAUAUUCCCCAAUGUACGUGGUAAAGAACCAAACAUUUCCCAUCUGCGAAUAUUUGGUUGUGGAGUUUAUACUCCAAUAGCGCCAUCAAAACGUACCACAAUGGGCCCUCAGCGUAAGCUAGGUAUAUAUGUGGGUUAUGAAUCUCCAUCUAUAAUUAAAUUUCUUGAACCCAUGACUGGGGAUCAAUUUACUGCCCGGUACGCUGACUGUAUUUUUGAUGAAGAUCAUUUCCCGACAUUAAGGGGAGACAAAAGCCCAACUUCAACACAAUGUCGAGAAAUUUCAUGGAAUGAAAAGAAUCUUCAUUAUUUAGAUCCACGUACUAAUGAAUCUGAACUAGAAGUUCAAAGGAUAAUUAACUUGCAAUAUUUAGCAAGUAAUUUGCCAGAUGCAUUUACUGAUCAUAAAGGAGUGACAAAAUCUCAUAUUCCUGCUAUGAAUGCACCACAAAGGAUUGAAGUUCCAUAUGGACAAAAUAAAUCAGCUGAUAAUCCCGAACGCCAGAAGCGUGGGAGACCUAUUGGUGCUAAAGAUAAAAAUCCCCGCAAAGCAAAAUCAAAUAAGAAUAUGAUAUCACUCCAACAACCUCUUGAAGAGGAUCAUCCUGUAGAUAAUAAUCCCAGUACUGCUAAAAGUGCACUAACUAAUACUGGGAUUGCGGAACAACCAGAUCAUAAUAUAAUGGGAAUUGAUAAAAAUCUGGUUGAUGUCAACAUUGAAGUUGCUAUGAACUUUAUAAAUACGGGAGAAACUUAUAACAGAAAUGUUCUUGUAAUAGACGAUGUAUUUGUCUCUACAAUUGCAUGUACUAUUCCAAAUGAUAAUUUGGAUCCAGAACCAAAAACAGUAGCACAGUGCCGGAAGCGCUCUGAUUGGUUGAAAUGGAAGGAAGCAAUUGAGGCAGAGUAUAACUCGCUAAAAAAAGAAAAGUUCUUGGUACUAUAAUACUUAUACCCGACAAUGUUGAACCAUUGGGAUAUAGAUGGGUAUUUGUACGAAAGAGAGAUGAGAACAAUGAGGUGGCAAGAUAAAAAGCAAGAUUAGUAGCUCAAGGGUUUUCGCAGAGACCUGGAAUUGAUUUUGAUCAAACAUAUUCUCCUGUUUUAGAUGGCAUAACAUUCCGCUAUUUGAUAUCUCUGGCGUCAUCAAUGAAUUUAGAAAUGCAGUUAAUGGACGUCGUGACUGCAUAUUUAUAUGGGUCACUAGACGCUGAUAUCUAUAUGAAAAUCCCUGAAGGAUUCAAAAUUCCUCAUAUGAAGGAAAAUGAAACUCGUGACAUGUAUUGUGUGAAUUAGAAAAUCGUUGUACGGUUUAAAACAGUUGGGAAAGAUGUGGUAUAACCGACUUAGUGAAUUCCUCUUGAAGAAGGAAUAUGUGAACAAUGAUAUAUGCCCUUGUGUGUUCAUUAAAAGAUCACAAAAUGGUUUUGUAUCAUUUCUGUUUAUGUUGAUGAUAUAAAUAUAAUUGGAACACGCAAAGAGGUUGAAGAAGCUCGUUCAUGCUUAAAGAUGGAGUUUGAAAUGAAAGACUUGGGUAAAACCAAGUUUGUCUCGGCCUGCAGAUCGAGCAUCUCCCUGAAGGAAUUCUUGUACACCAGUCAACUUAUGUGAGUAAGAUUUAGAGAAAUUCUAUAUGGAUAAAUCACAUCCACUUAGUACACCUAUGGUUGUCCGAUCACUAGAAAUAGAUAAGGACCCAUUUAGACCUANGUAUUUGCCUCUACAAUUGCAUGUACUAUUUCAAAUGAUAAUCUGGAUCCAGAACCAAAAACAGUAGCACAGUGCCGGAAGCGCUCUGAUUGGUUGAAAUGGAAGGAAGCAAUUGAGGUAGAGUAUAACUCGCUAAAGAAAAGAAAAGUUCUUGGUACUAUAAUACUUAUACCCGACAAUGUUGAACCAUUGGGAUAUAGAUGGGUAUUUGUACGAAAGAGAGAUGAGAACAAUGAGGUGGCAAGAUAUAAAGCGAGAUUAGUAGCUCAAGGGUUUCGCAGAGACCUGGAAUUGAUUUUGAUCAAACAUAUUCUCCUGUUUUAGAUGGCAUAACAUUCCGCUAUUUGAUAUCUCUGGCAUCAUCAAUGAAUUUAGAAAUGCAGUUAAUGGACGUGACUGCAUAUUUAUAUGGGUCACUAGACGCUGAUAUCUAUAUGAAAAUCCCUGAAGGAUUCAAAAUUCCUCAUAUGAAGGAAAAUGAAACUCGUGACAUGUAUUGUGUGAAAUUAGAAAAAUCGUUGUACGGUUUAAAACAGUCGGGAAAGAUGUGGUAUAACCGACUUAGUGAAUUCCUCUUGAAGAAGGAAUAUGUGAAUAAUGAUAUAUGCCUUGUGUGUUCAUUAAAAGAUCACAAAAUGGUUUUUGUAUCAUUUCUGUUUAUGUUGAUGAUAUAAAUAUAAUUGGAACACGCAAAGAGGUUGAAGAAGCUCGUUCAUGCUUAAAGAUGGAGUUUGAAAUGAAAGACUUGGGUAAAACCAAGUUUUGUCUCGGCCUGCAGAUCGAGCAUCUCCCUGAAGGAAUUCUUGUACACCAGUCAACUUAUGUGAGUAAGAUUUUAGAGAAAUUCUAUAUGGAUAAAUCACAUCCACUUAGCACACCUAUGGUUGUCCGAUCACUAGAAGUAGAUAAGGACCCAUUUAGACCUAAAGAAGAUGAUGAGGAUAUUUUAGGACCAGAAGUUCCUUAUUUGAGUGCAAUUGGAGCACUACUUUAUCUCGCAAAUUGCACAAGGCCUGACAUAGCAUUUGCGGUUAACUUGCUAGCAAGAUUCAGUGCUUCUCCUACACGAAGACAUUGGAAUGGUGUUAAACACAUUCUUCGUUAUCUUCAAGGUACAAAAGAUCUUGGUUUGUUCUAUCCAAGAAACCAAGACAUGACAUUGGUAGGCUAUGCGGAUGCUGGUUAUUUAUCUGAUCCCCAUAAUGCUAAAUCUCAGACUGGUUAUGUUUUCCUCUGUGGUGGUACAGCUAUAUCUUGGAGAUCUGUUAAACAGACUCUAGUUACUACAUCUUCAAACCACUCAGAGAUUAUCGCUUUACAUGAGACCGCUAAAGAAUGUGCAUGGUUAAGAUCAUUGAUACAACACAUUCGCGGAUCUUGUGGUAUUGCGGAUGAUAAAUCUUCCACUGUCCUAUAUGAGGACAAUGUUGCUUGUGUUGCACAAAUGGAUAGCGGGUACAUUAAAGGAAAUUUAACAAAACAUAUAUUACCUAAAUUCUUUUACCCGCAUGAGCUCCAGAAGAGCGGCGAAAUUAAAAUAAAUAAAAUUCGCUCUUGUGAUAAUCUGGCAGAUUUAUUCACAAAAUCCCUUCCUACGUCAACUUUUGAAAAACAUGUUUAUAAUAUUGGAAUGCGUAGGCUUAGUAGAUUAUUAGUUUGAGGGGGAGCGAAUUCAUUAUGCCUUGAAGGUGUAUUUUUGUUGUACUCUUUUUCCCUUACUAAGUUUUUUCCCAUUGGGUUUUCUUAGUUAAGGUUUUUAAUGAGGCAACAAAUGCAACACAAAGUUAUACAUAUCACAUGUACUCUUUUCUUUGACUGUUUUUUCCCACAGGGUUUUUCAGCGAGAGAGACAUGAAUAUAAUCAAGUAAUGUCCAAGGGGGAGUAUUGUAAAUAAUAUUAUUUAUUAUUUAUUGUACAUUACUUAUUCAUAUAUAUACAUAUAUAUAUAUAUGAUGGAACGGUAAUAUACAGUUUUUAUAAGAAUACAGAAUCUGUUUCUCUCUUCUUUCUCUCCUUCUCUUCUCUCCCUGAAUCUUCCAUUCUUACUUUUGAAUUGCUUGCUCAAGAAGAUAUUACAACAAUUACAAAAUUAGUUGAGUUUGUCUUCGAGCACGUGAGAAAGUGACAAUACAGCCCAAAACUUAGAACUUGACCCACUAAAUCCAAAAAUAAAAAAAUGUUAUAAACCCAAAACUGAAACGGACUAGACAAUUGGGUUAGAUAGGUUACCAAAUGAAUUUACGGAUUGAUUCCACGAACUUGUCACCAUUUCGCCACCACUGCUAUAUUCCUCCACGCGUUGCCACCGAUCAAUUGCCCAACCCUUUUUGCUCCGCUUUUUUAACUCUGCAUUUCAAUGGCGUUUCGCCGGUGCCUCUGAUUCCCCCUUCCCCAAAAAAUGAUCGAAAAUCGAGGCCCCACUUCCUGCCUCGUCGUCGGCAACUACUGCCACGACGUCCUCAUGAAAGACAGCAUCGUUCUCGCCGAGUCGCUCGGCGGCGCUGCCGCCUUCAUCUCCGCCGUCCUCGACGGCGUCGCCAUUGCCUCCACCUUCGUGUCCAAAGUUGGCCCGGAUUUCGCCUACUCCGUCGCACGAUCCCCCACCGUUUCCGAGUCCUCCAAAACGACGGUGUUCCACGCCCAUUUCUCAUCGCAGGUCCAGCGGCACGAUCGGGUCCUCAAACGGGUCGAAUCGUGCGCCUCGAUCACCCCCUCGGACCUCCCCGCCUCGCGGCGGUUCGAGUUCGGCAUGGCCAUCGGCGUCGCCGGGGAAAUACUGCCGGAGACGCUCGAGAGGAUGCUCGACAUCUGCGACACCGUGUUCGUGGACGUCCAAGCCCUAAUCCGCGUGUUCGAUCCCGCCGACGGAACGGUGAGCCUCGUUCAUCUGAGGGAUUCCGGAUUCGAUCAUCUGGUGCCGCGGAUCGGGUUCCUGAAGGCGUCGUCGGACGAGGCGCCGUACGUGGGCGUGGAGGCGGCGAGGAAGGAGUGCUGCGUGGUGGUGACGAAUGGGGAGAAGGGGUGCACGGUUUAUUACCGGAAUGUAGAGCAGCGGAUUGCCCCCUUUCCCACCGUGCAGGUCGAUCCGACGGGGGCGGGAGAUAGCUUCCUCGGCGGGUUGGUGGUGGGACUCAUCGAGGGGAUGCCCGUGCCUGAUGCCGCCUUGUUGGGGAACUUCUUCGGGUCCCUCACCGUCGGGCAGCUCGGGCUGCCCAAGUUUGAUUUCCGGGUUUUACAGGUUGGUCUGUGAAAAUAAUCUCUCUCUCUCUCUGCGUGAGCAAUUGUUGUUGAUAAUGAAUUUGGUGUAGUUAUUCUUCUUUAUCAGCUGUUGGAUUGGUUACAUGCAUCCAUAAUUGUGUGAUUUGUGAUUGUGAGAGCUGAUAAUCUGCCCUAUUCACUGUUUGAGAAAAUGAUCAAGUGAAACUAAGCUUGCUCCUCGUUGCAUGAAUUGUGUGUUUGCUGAAUUUGUUGAAAUUUUGUAAGUAUAAUGAGACUUUUGUGUAUAGCCAUUGUUACUUCUCCAAAAAUAAGCAUAUGUUUACCUCACUGUCAUUUUUUUUAGACCUUCGGUAAUUGGUAGUGGAAUUUUGAGCAUUUAUGCUUCUCAAAUCAUAUGGAUUUUAGUAAUUAGUUUGUAUAAUUCAAGGCCCUUUAGCUCUUUGUUCAUGUACAUCUAUUUCUUGGUCCGCAUCGUGUGAUGAUAUUUGAAAUUUCAUUUACUCGUAUGCAAAUACACAAACAAUGUAUAAUCGUUUGCAUGUUUCAUCUCCUGUCUUCAAUUUCGUGUUUUACUCGUGGAUUUGGAUGUAAUGUUACUUCAUCUACUUGGUUUGGUAUUGUUCGAGUUAAGGAAUUAAGAAAGAAAUCAAUGGCCUAAAAAUUCACCCAAAAUAGGGAAUCCUUUGAUGAUAUUAGGCAUCUUGUGUAUGUUGCAUUAUGCUUGUAUUGCUACUUGACAUUUUCUUUUGCUGAUGGUUGUUGUACUUUACAAUUUCCUUCUAGGCAGUUAAGGAUGAGCUCCAACGAAGGAGGUUGAAAAUGCUCGGCCACGAGAGGCUAAACGGAGAACUUGUGUUUGUGAAGCCUAUAGAUCACGAGGACUUCCGCAUGGCACUUGUUAGGGCCAAGACACUUCCAGUCCGAGAAUGCCAACAAGAUCAAUUGUAACCUUUUGCCAUUUUGAACACAAGAAACAUAUUUAUGAUUCUAGUUUUAGUGUUGUNUUUUUUCCCUCUGUAUUUUCGAGAUAGAUAUUUCGAAAUAUACUCUCUUUCUCUCUCCUCUCCUCUCUCUCAUAUUUCCAAGUGCCACAAUAUGUUUAUGUGCAUAUAAUGUUCAAUGGAUUUUCUGAGCUGCCACUUAUGAUUUUUAGACUUCCAGUGUUCUACAAGCAGAGAGAUAAUCUUUUUCAUCCUGCAUGGACAUGGUCUCUACCGAGCUUCAUACUUCGCCUGCCUUACUCUGUGAUUGAAGCUAUGGUAUGGUCUUGUGUAGUAUAUUAUGCUGUAGGAUCUAGUCCUGAGGCUGGAAGGUUUGUCCUGUAGACUUUUUUUUUCAUUGACUAUAAAUUCAAUUUCCAAAGCUCAUCGUGUCAUUUUAUUUGUUUCAGGUUUUUGCGUUAUAUGUUUGUACUCUUUUCUGUGCACCAAAUGUCAUUGGGACUCUUCAGGACAAUGGCUGCACUGGCAAGUGAUAUCAUCAUUGCUAAUACUUUUGGUUCAGCUGCAUUAUUGAUAAUCUUUUUGUUAGCUGGAUAUAUUCUACCAAAGGGUAAGCAUUGUUUGUCAUCAUAAACAUUUACCUGGUUGUUUUAUACUUGGUGACGACCUUCUAUUUUAGAGAUGAUUAAACCAUGGUGGUUGUGGGCAUUCUGGGUGUCUCCACUGUCCUGGGCAGCAAGCAAUUUCAGUUGACGAGUUUACUGCUAAAAGAUGGAUGGAGGUAAGAUCCUGCAAUGAUUCGAUCUGUGGCAGAGUCCAAAUAGAUAUUGAUGUCAAUUUUACUUGCUUGCUGAUAAUUCUUUUGCUUGUAUUUAUUGAACUUGAUAUCACAGAGGUCAGCUGGAAACACCACUCUUGGAAAUAUGAUUCAGCAGAUUCAUAGUUUACCCAGUAAUGGUUAUUGGUAUUGGCUUGGAGUAGCUGCUUUACUAGGAUAUGCUUUGUUUUUCAACAUUACAGUGACAGCAGCACUUUCCUUUCUCAAUCGUAAGUUACCCGACACUUCUGAUAUCCAUUGAGGUUCUAAACUAGGCAAGUGUAGGACAAGUAAACUAAGUUUGAGUUGUCAAGAAAUAUGCGGAUAGAUAUCAAGCAAGCAUGUUUCAUGAUUUUGAUCAGAGUUGCAUCUACUGUGGAAGCUCUUCUCCGCUUCCUCGUCCCAAAACCAGUAAGGGAGUGUUUACCUUAUAUGAUUGACAGUACAUAUGAUUGAACGGUGAUUAGCCUAUACUAUAUAUACAUAUAAUACCUUCCAAUUCCAUCCAUCCCAUAUUAGCAAAUACACAGCUCCAGUAGCAUGCAAAAAUCACCUCAUCUAAUAUUAUUGAUGUACAGAGCAUUCCUGGGUGGUGGAUAUGGUUCUACUACAUCUGCCCGAUGGCGUGGACGUUACGUGGCAUAAUCACGUCCCAACUAGGCGACGUAGAGACAAGAAUCAGAGGGCAGGAUUUUGAAGGCAAUGUGAAAGACUUCAUCAAUGUGCAUUAUGGUUAUGAUUCAGGGAUGCUUGGAGUAUCAGUUGCUGUGCUUGUUGCAUUCAGCCUCCUAUUUUUCGGCCAUUUCUGUUAAAGUUCUCAACUUCCAGAGAAGAUGGCUGCUGCUGACUCUACAACUAUUACAGUGAUCCCUUCAUCAACACAAGUGAACUACUGCUCAUACAAAUAUGCAAUAUUGUCUCUAUGUCUGAUUUUGUCAAAUAUAUAACCUUUGAUAUGCUUGUGAGCAAAAUUGAAAUGCUGGAUGUUAGUAUCACUAUAAGAAGAUCAGAUGAAAUGCCAAACUCUUGUUCCAUCAUCAUUAUAGCACUGCACUUAUGUGAUACACUCGUUAUUAUUAUUAUUUUAUUGGUUCUUUUUAGUGUGUGUGUGGAUAAUUGUGAUGUUUGGUUGUGUGAAGAAUAUGUUUUUAAAUAUAACAAAUUAAACUACAUGAUUGUUUAGGUUUUAAGAGGGUGUAGAAUUAAAUAAUUACAAAUUCCUUUGUAAUCUAAUAAAAAUUAUAAUCCUCAUUUCUGAAUUUUCUAACAUAUAAUUCUCAUUUUGAAAUUACCUAAUAUAUAGUCCUCAAUUUUGUGAUAAUCAGACAUCUCGGGAAUUACAUAAUAAUCCCCACACGGCAGAAUGACUUCGACGUUUCUCCAUUAUGCUAUCUACACACAUCGCUGUCUCCUUUUUCAUUUUACCCGAUUAUUAUUACUUUUUUUUUUCGUCCAAAACUGCACAUUAUUUGAAUUGAAAGUUUGGCACCUGCUUAGAAUUUUGAUUAGCUUUAAUUAAUAGAUAAUCUUUAUCGUCCCAACUAGGGAAAGAAUACAUCGACAUUCCUUAAUUUUUCUCUCAUUUUUUAGACGUCUUAGUGUGUUUUGGGGUUGCUGAGAAGUAUUAGGCCCAGUUUGAUAGCCUUGUUAUAACUGUAUUACUUCCUUUCAUGGGCUAAAAUUCAUGUUUGACAUCUAAGUAAAAUAAUCAAGGAAGCCCAUGUAAAAGGCUAGGCCCGGGGCUAAAUCCCUGUUUCAUCAAGGAAACACAACCGAGCCUUCCCCCUGGUUAGCUAAGCUGGAAUUCCAAGUUUAAUUUUCUUUCACAAAAUUGCCCCCAAUUCAUCUCUCUAUCUCUCGUACCCAUUUUUUUUUCUCUCUCUCUGGAGAAUCACGCACACAAUACCAAGUCAGAAUCACUCACACGCACAAGCGGCGCCACCCUCUUUCUGGCGAGAGCAACCACCAGACGUCCCUUCUCCCUUGACUUCCCUCUCUCUCUCUCUCUCGUCUUUUACAGGUCGACGGAGCUCCCUGCGCUGCCUCAUCCCUUGGGUCAGCGAAGUCGCCGCCGCCUCCCUCUAAAUCCCUAGUCCCCAAGGUUCAACUCCACUCCGGCGAGUCCUGCGCUUUCAUUUGUUGUUUGAAGGAGAUGGAUUUGUUGUUUUUUGAGUCAAAAAAUGGAGACCUCGAGAAGAGAGGUGAGAGAAGGGAGGGGAUGAGCGGCUGUGACAGACUUCUACCAAAGUGUUUUAUUCUUUAAUUUAAAAUUUUCAAUUAAUUUAAUAGAGGUUAAAAUAGUAAUUUCAGUAUUUAAUCUAAAUUUUAAUCUAUACUAACAAACAACUAUUUUAUGUUAUCUAGAUUUUAAUCUUGAUCUAUCAAACACUAAAAUGUAUUACUAAUCUCACCUAAUUCAUAUUAUUUUAACUAAGUUUUAUUUAUCAACCUUUAUCUCAACUUAGAUAUCAAACAUGGCCUUAGUAUUAUCCGAAAACUAUUGCUUUCUUAUUUAUCAAAUUUGAAUAAAAUAACUCUAAUGUUUUAGUGUAGUGGUAUUCUUUUUUAUAUGCAUAAGAGUGAGUGAACGAUCAGGGUAUAAAUCGCAAUUUUCCCACCCUUCAAUAAAUAAAUAAAAGUAAAAUAAUAAUAUUAUGGGCAGGGGCGGAUCCAGAAUUUAAGGUUAGGGGGGCUGAAUUUAUUGAUCUACGACGUCUGAAGACAUUUACACAGGGGGGGAGGGAGCCCCCGUUGCAAUUUUUUUUUAUCAUUGAGUAGAUUGAAAGCAUACAUAAACAUACUUUUAUACAUUCUUUUAAAAAAGUAUAUUUCAUUUUUUAAACAAAUAAACUAACUUUCAGUGUUAAUAAUUAGUAAUUUUACUUUUAACUUUAGAAUAAACUCAAAUUCAACAUUAAAAAUUAAAUAAAAAAAAUAAGAUAAAAAUAAUUAUUAUGGAUCAAAUCCGCCACUGACUAUGGGUAAACUAUAGUAUUAUUCAAAAAAAUUAUUCUUUUGAAAAAAACUACUUCUAUCGAUAUAAUAAUGUACAAUGUCAAAUAAUUAUUAUGGAUCGAAUCAGCCACUGACUAUGGGUAAACUAUAGUAUUAUUUAAAAAAAAUAUUCUUUUGAAAAAAAACUACAUCUAUCGAUAUAUUAAUGAAAGGGAUUUCGAACUUAAAUUGAUUGAUGUGGUUUAAUUAAGCUGCCCAAUCAUAUUUUCAUCUUUUGUCGUUGGACAAUUGCUUAUACAUUGUAUGAAUUUUUCUACUCAAUUAUCUUGUCAUCAGAUGUUCGAUGACAAAAUUUAAAAUAUGAUCAGGCAAUCAAGACCACGAGAGCUUCGAAAAAAUUGAAUUAUUUUUGGAUUAAUUCAAAAGUCAUUUGAUUCUUCUAAUGAUAAAAAUUGAUGAGCAUUGAAAGGAUGAAUAAAAUUGAUAAAUUUUAUAAAUUAAAAUAUAUUUAAAAAAAUGUCAAAUGACAGAUACUAUAAAUAACCCUUAAAAUUAGAUUUGCUGAUCGAAUCGUCAAUUUGCUUUUCCAACUUUAUCUACCUGAGGAAAUUUUACUAAUAAAGCAAGAGAAUACAUAAAUCCCCAAAAAUAUAGUCCUUGCAGAAGAAGGCUGCAUGAGACUGAAGUUACUGACGUUGCUUUUUACUCUUCAGUCAUUUUUCAUUUAUUCUUAUGGAAAGGUUCUUCGAUUAAUUCUUUUGAUUAUAACAAACAAAAAUGCAAGAAUUUGCAGAAACUGAACUGUAUUAUUUUUUAAUUGUAAAAAUUAUAGACCUGCUGCAUUACUUAUUUCCUAAAUAAAUUACAUUUGAGGUUGUAAUUUCACUUCUCUUAUUUUUCGGAGGAGCUAUAAAUAUUAACUUAGAUGUAUACAUCAACACCAACAUAUUUGUAUUUAUUAAAAUAUAUAAUGAAAAUUGUAAAAAAAAAUUAUAAAGAUGAAUGUGCGCUCAUGAAAGAUUCAGUACUUAUUCAACCAUUAUGCUAGACAAUACUUUUUUUAUUUUUAUUUUUUUUGAGGGGGCUAGAUAAUAAAUUUAUAUACACCUAUAAUUUACUACUUAGCUACAUACAUCCAAUGUGACUAUUUGUAAGAAAGACAAGCUAUAUUAAAUAUUUAUUUACAAAUUCAAUCGUAGACUGGAGUAUAAUUUAUUCAGAUCUUCCGAUUUUUUAUAUAUGUAUAUGUAUGUGUAGAUGUAAACAUAAAAUAGUGGUUCCAAGCAAACGACAAUUCCACCGCAUAUAUAUCUCGUUUUGUGGUUAAAAUUUUGUACAAGACCAAAUAAUAGCAUCUCAAAUUUUGCAUCGCACUAGUAAGAAAAGAGCAAAACUAGGAACAACGAAAUAUGGUCCAUUUUCUUCAACUAUAAAAACAAACAAUAAAAAAUGGCCCCAUCCAACAUAAGUAUAACUUAUUUAGAUCAAACUCUUUGCUAAAGAUUGUCGUUAUGCACUUUAGUGUACGCAGUGGAAUAUUUGCUUUUGUGUAGCUUUGAAUAAAUGCAGGGAAUACUAUAAAUUUAAAGGAUUAAAGCUACAUAUAUAUGCAAACAAAUUACAACAACAAAAAGAGCAAGCAAACAAAGGAAAAGAAAUUAAUAAAGACAGAAAAGAAUGCAAAAGAGUACCUGAUGUUAAACCAGCCUCAUACAUACAUACGCAAAGAGACCGCUCUGAUGACUGAUAACUCAUAAUAGAACCGUAAAAUCCCAUUUUUGCCCUUUUAUUUCAUCAAAUUAUUCAAAUACAACUUGUAUUGUAUGUAAACAGAUUAUGGUUUUUUUUUAAGAUAAAUAGGAUAUCAUGAAUUUCUAAUUCAUAGAUUAUAAUGAAUUUGAUAUAGUUUUUCAAUAACCAAACAAUCAUAUACAACUUGCGCGUAAGAAAUAAUUGAACCAAAAUAUCCUUUCGUUGAGACAAUUUUUGAUACCUUAACAUUUAAACUAGACCUAACACAUAAAUUAAAUUUGUUAAAAAAGACUGUUCUCUAUAGCUCAAAUCAAUUAAGAAAAAUAAAACAGGUUCAAUAAAUCAUUAUCAAUGGUGGACUCAAGAGGAGCCAAGGGGGGACUUAAAGCCCCCACCAAUCAAAAGAACUUGUUAGAAAAUUAUUUUGAAAUUAUCAUAUUAUUGGUAUUUUAUAUGGAUCAUUAUAUAAUACUUCUAUCAUCAAAUCAAAUAGUAUGAUCAAAAUAGCAAACUCAAAAUACAGAAGAUAUAUAGUCCUCACCAUGAAUUAUUCCACGUCCCUCAAAUGAGUACUAUACAACAAAAUUCUAAAAGUAAAGUCUAAACAAUAUUUUAUUCUUCUUCUUCUUCUAAUUUUAGUGUACGACUGUGUAGUAUCUAUGAGAAAUGAAGUGCCCAUAUAUAUAAAAUAUGCUUUCUUCUAAUUUUAUUGUACGACUGUGUAGUAUCUAUGAGAUGUGAAGUGCCAUAAAAUAUGCUAGUAAUUUACAAGCCAAAAAAAUUGAAAGCGCUGAUUUUCCACAAAAUGAUUGUACAUUUCAAGAAAUCCUAUUAAGCGCUUACAUGAUAUACUACACCAAUUCAUUGAUUUGAAGUCACGCUCAAUAAUAGGAGAGUUUAAUUAUAUAGAUUUAAACGUAGUAAUUCAAAUCUAAAAAAUUAAACGCCUCAUUUUUUAUCUCAAGUAAUUUCCAAGGGAGUAGGAUGUAUAUCUUUGAGCAAGCCCAAAACUUGCUGCAUGGUGGGCCUCUUCUCCGGCGCCUCCGCCGUGCACAAGUACCCGACUCGGAGGCACUCCACCAUCUGACUCACCGAGUCGCGCAGCCUCUCAGCCGCGAGUCGAGCGCGUUCGCCCCUUCCCCAUCCUUCACCAGCCUCCUCACCCAAUCCACGGCAUGGCACGAGCCCCGUUGACCGGUCAACAGCUCCACCAGCACCACGCCGAAGCUGUACACGUCAUCCUCGGUGGACCCCGCGACCUGGUCCUGGCUCGCCGCGAAGUCGGUGAUCCGCGGCUCGAGGUCGUCGGCCAGCAGGAUGUUGGACGGCACUAGAUGCCCGUGCACGACGGGCUUCGACCGGGCGUGGUGGAGGUAGGCGAGCCCACGUGCCACCCCGACGGCGAUCCGGUGGCGCGUGUGCCACUCCAUCUUCUCGGGCGAGGUGUGCUGGGGCCCAUCCCCGGCCCCACUCUGGAUCUCCCACGUGUCGCCGCUCCAGUCCUCCACGUUGGGCGCCCCCGUUGGGAGCUCGUGCAGCCAACGGUGGAGAUCGCCGUUGGCCAUGAACUCGUACAACACCAACUUUUCUUUACCUGCGCACAACGGAAUUAAACCCAUCUACCUCAUUAAAUUCGCAUUCCACUUUCAUGUUCCAACCGUCCAAUGUUACAUGAAUAGGAUAUGUAAAAUAUCUUUUAACUUCAAAAUAAACACUAAAACCACAUGGUAUAAACCAACAUACACAAACGUAUAUUAAUCACCUGAAAGAGUGAAAGUCUUAAUUCAAAUCCCAAAAUCACAAUUUGACUUUCUAUCUAUAUAGUCUACACGAAGUCCGAAGCGGUGAGUAGAAAAUUUUACAGCAGUCCAAAAAUGAAUCUAGCGCUAGUUUCAAAGCUCACAAUCACGAAAAUCUAAUCAUAUCUGAUCUCACGACUGCAAGAAUAUAUGUAUUGGCAUUUUCUCAGCGCCCAAAUCUCACGUGAAUUCAUUAAAUGUGGUAGCUCAAGAAUACGUCAAAUUAAUUACUGACGCACACGGAUGAUAAUAAUACAAAAAAUGAGAAAUAAAACACUACUAAUUGAGGCAAAAUAAGGCAAUUAGGCAGAGAUACUCGUACCUGCAAUGCAGUAGCCAGAGACAGGCAGCAGAUUAGGGUGUUUGAGCCUCGAGAAGUCUUCAAACAUGGCGGCAGCGUCAUCGCGCUGAGGCUCCUGGCAUUUUCGAGAACCUUGAUUGCCACGUGGAUAUCGCCGGGCAGCACGGCGCGGUAGAGGGGCCCGCACCUUCCCUCUGCGAGGAGGGAUUCUUUGCCGAAGUGUGACGUGGCAGCGAUAGGUCCUUGAACGUCAGGUUCAUCAAUGGCUUCUCGAACAUAACCACGGCGGCCGACGUCGGCUCUUUGAUGUCGGCUACCCACGACGACCCGGACUCUGUUUCGAACGAAAACGGGCCCGAUUUCUCCAUCCUGAACGGGGUCUGGAUCGGCGUGGAGAUUGACCAUUUGCUCUGCCUCGCUCUGCUCCUAUUCCUGCACCUGUAAUAUGCCAGGACGGCCACGGCCACGGCGGCGAUGGAUGAACCUAGCGACGCGCCCAGGAUUAUGGUUUUCCGAGUUUUCGAUCUCGGUCUGGGUUUCUUCGCGGGGCUGAGGUCUAUUUCUUGGUUUUGAGGCGGCGGCUUAUGGCGGAGAGUGGGCGGGUUAGGUUUUAUAUGCAAGUCGGGGGCGGUGGCGGUGGUGGUGGUGGCGGCGGCGGUUUUGUUUCGAGUGGUGAGAUUGCCGGCGUGAAUGAAAGCGGAACUGCCGAAUUUGUGGACGUAUUUUGAGUCCAGAAAACCCGACACAUUAUUGAACGAGAUGUUGAAGAAACUCAGAUUAACUAAAGACGGAAUAUCGGCCGGGAAAUUACCGGUAAAACGAUUGAUCGAAAUAUCCAAGUGUUUCAAGGAUUUAAGACCAGAAAUCGGGCUUAAAUUCCCCGAAAUAUUGCAGCCGGAUAUGUCGAGAGAUUGAAGAUUAGUUAGGUUGGUGAACCAAAGGGGAAGCGCAACUCGAAAAUCAUUACCGGAGAGAUUGAGAGAGGUGAGAUUAGGGAAAUUGGAGAGAUAAGUGAAGUUUCUAAACCUAUUAAAGGAGAGAUCGAUCUUCCGAAGCGGCGAAGAGCUGAGCGAGGCCGGUUUAGGAAGUCCGGCGGCGCCGCCGAGGCGGUUGUUGGAGAGGUUGAUUUCGGCUAAGUUGGGGAGAAGCCAAAGAGAAAGCGGGACGGAGCCGGUGAGACGAUUGUCGGAGAGAUCUAAGGCGCGCAGGUGCGUGAUGUUUGUGAGGUGUUUCCAUGAGAUAGCGCCGGUGAGGUUUCUGGAGGAGAGGUUGAUUUGGGAGACGGAGCAGCUGGUGUUGAAGAACCAGGAAGGUUCGAAGCCGGAAACGGAGGCGAAUGCCUUGGCGAGCAGGGCGCGGUCUGAGGUGUUGCUGCACGGUGAUGAUUCGGAUAGAGAGAGGAGAGAGAUGAAGAGCAUGAAUCUGAGCAUGGUUUUCAUUUCAUGGAUGCAGAGAGAGAAAGAGAGAUCUGAGCUACUGUCACAUUAUGUAGUUAUUGAAGGCGGUGGUGGUGGAGUGGUGGUCUGCUUCUUUGUGAGUUUGGACUCGUCAACUACUCUCAACUUACAAACAUGGAGAAGACCAAAACAGAACCACUAGCAAAACAACACUGUUUAGUGGACACAGAUUCUCAAUGCUUAUUCUUCAAAUUAAAUACACUUGGUUUUCAUACUAAUAAUCAACACAAAAUCUUAAGUACACCUAAGUGUACCGUACAAUUGGAUUGAUCCGUACUCAAAAUAAGUACUGUAUUAUUUAUAUGGGUUGGAUCAAAAUAUGGAUUUAAAUUAGAGUGUAGGUCAAAGUUUAAGUGAAGUGUAACCCGAUUGUACAGUACACCCGAGUGUACCCAAGACCACCUCUACUAUCAAUGAGUUGUUUGUUGAAUUCUCCACUUCCACUAAUUGUAUUGGACCAACUAUAAUCAUAGAUAGAGAUCGAAUUACCAAUUAUGAAUCUAUUUAUAUAAAUCAAAUAUUUAAUUAAAAUAAAUUAUUUUAUCAAUUAUAUCUUACCAUGAAAACAUUGUUAUAAGUAGAUUUGGUGGGUGUGAAUAUGAUUAAGGUAUGAUUGUCAACGUUUCUUUUUACUCGUUGACUCUAUGUUUAUGAGCAUAUCCCUGUCUACGAAUUAUGCCAUAUGGGAAAUUAUGAUAAAAUAGUAGCUACUUGUAUUGUAUGUACCGUGCCCAUCAUGCAUAUUAAUUAAUAAGGGACAAAGGUUAAAGGAAUUGAUUUGACCGAUAGUCAAAGAAAGAAAUAAACAUUAGGAGUUGAGUUGCCCACCCAAGCCACAAUUGGAUUUGGUACUUUGGUUUCUUUACUUCAUGUUGCAUUUCCCGCUCCAGUACUGUAAUUAAUUUAUGCCGUAUAUAUAUCUGAAAUGUCAUUAAACAUAAUAACGUUACGUAUAUAAAGCACAUUAAUGAUUUGAAAACAUAAAAGGAUAGUAAUAAGGAGUAUAACGAAUGAUCUCGUACCAACAUAACAGCAUGUUUAGAUCAAGCAACAUAUCAAAUAUGCUUUAUUAUUGUGGAGGAAAACAAUAUAUAUGUAGUUAAGAACAUCUGAUCCAAUGCAAGCGAGGCCGACGAGAGGAGUUGAGUGCGAGAGACAUAAUAUAAGGGCACGUACAGUGUACGCGCCCAUUAAAAAAAUAUUUGAAUUUUAAAAUUGUGCAACGAUUCGAUCUUGAAUUUUAAAAUUCAAGUAGCUUAGCUGUAUCUUGUCCUUGCACCAGAGCUUCGCCGGAAUUUCAAUAGUAUUUGGCUCGACAAUCCACCAUUUGCAACCACAACCUUCACAUUCGCCUCAGCUCAAAUUUGAAUGAAUACAUUUAUGCUCGUUUUGGUCCGAUCGAGCAAUAAUAAAAUUAUUGUAAUUUUAAUUUUAAUCAUUUUAUUUUAUUUUAAGUAUAUAUUUUAUUUUAAUUAAUGUAAUGUCAAAAUUUAAUUUUAAUGAAGUUGUAUUUAAAAAUUGAAUAGUUAAAAGGAAAUAGAGAAAUUAGAGCCCCUUAUAGAGCCAGUUACAUUGCAGAGCAUAAGCUCUAAGGUGGGGACUAUCUCCUUAGAGUCUUUUUUAGAGCAUUACAUUGGAAAUGCUCUAAGAGAUCAUUGUGAUAGUAAAAGAUUAGUUAAAUUCAAAUCUUAACUCUCCACUUUCCCAAGUCAAAGAAAUACUAUAUAUUCACAUGUAAGCAACUCACAUCAAUUAGGCUUAAUUAUGCAAAUUCUGACCUAAACACAGUUGGAACAUUGCUGCAUAAGCUGUCCUAAUCUUUUAACACCAUAUUGAUGUUUGAAGUAAAACCAGACGUGCUAAUUUAUAAAACCAGCACUUUAUUUAAUGAUGAAUUUGAGUGCACUGUUUUUGGAAGUUUCAACCCGAUCAUUAUUUUCCUAGAGGCUUCGAUCUCAAUUUGAUGUAACUAAUGUCUGACUUUUCAAUUUUCAUAUACAUUUUCAUAUUUAUUAAUUGUUUUAUGAUGGGCCAUGAAUUUAAAGUGGAUUUGGACACUAGCAGGCGACUUACUCCACAACUGGUAUCUGAAUUUUGGGUUGGCCAUCCAUCUGCUCUGAUACGUGAUUAUCGCCUUAAUUCUUCUUAUCUUAAGAUUAAUUAAUUAAAUAAAUCCCACUUAAAGCAUUUUUUGGGGGGGUUUGAUAGCUUAUGACUUUACCUAAUCCCACAUAAUCCAAGCAAAAUCUCCAAAAAGAAUGACAGCUGGGAUUUUACUGUCCAGCCAUCCAAAGUGUACUAGAAUUUAGUUUUCCGUCAAAAUACUUUAUUUUAUUUUAUUUUAAAUAUUGAAAUAAACAAUGAACAAGACUAUUGAAUAAAAAAAAAAAAAAAAACUAUUCCCUCCAUACAUAAUAAGUGUAAGACUGAAAAAAGGGGUUUGAGUAUAAUUUUCGGUGAUAUCAAAUGUCAUGUUUGAGGACAUCAAAAUAGAUUGUCAAUAAUUUUUUAUUUAUUUUUAUUUCUUUUUUUGUAUUUGAUUCUGAUGAACAAAUAUGUGCCGACGAAUGACAUUUGGGUAGGUUCAUAUGUAUUUACGGAUAAAAAUAUCCUGCAUAUUAUCGAAAUGCACCAUUUUUGUAUUUUAUGUACAUGUUAUACCAAAAUAUCACCUCAACAUAUAUAUAUCUGCAAUCUACCACUGAGAAGAAUGUUGCAAAAGGUAGCAUGGAUUUUACCAUACUUUUCCUUGGUAAUUAAACAGCGUGUAGGCUAUUAUUAUUGAUCCAAGAGCAUCAUUAUUGGUUGAGCCUCUAAUUAAUUUAUUCAUGUUCGGAUCUAUUUGUGAAUCACUUGUUGCGUUAAUUUGACUCAUCAUGUUGACUCAUAUAAAUUAGUUUUAAGUUUUGAUUUAAUUUUUAUUCCAAAAUUAAAAUAAUUGAAAUACAAUAAAAUUACUUUAAUAACAUAAAUAAGAAAAAUAUAUCAAUUAAAAAAAUCACACAUAAAAAACCAUUUGCAUAUUAACAACUAUAUAUUUCCACAAUUUUCCCGUCGGACGAAGAAGAAGAGUAAAACGAAGCUAUUUUGCUAUGUGAGAAAAUGAAAGAGUGAAUGAGAAUUAAGAUGAAUUAGAGAUAAAAUGAUGUAGGGGAGUAGUGUUGUUUAUUGAUGAAAAAAAGCUGUUAAUAGACAUAAAACAUUUUUUUUCAAUUUUCAUUUUUUAAGUUUGACGUGUGUGUAACAUGCGCCUCACAUUUCGCUUCAUGAGCCAGGCUUAUGCCAUCACGUUGCGAUUUGAGCUUCCCCGUCUGCAUCGGGAGGCUCAUUGUCAAGGUUGGUUCGAGCGAGACGAUGAGCCUCACCUAUAUCAUAUAGAUGCUUUAAGAAGUAUUGAAAUCAAAAAAAUUAAUACUAUCAUAUAUAAAUUUGAAUUCAAAUACAAUUAAUAGCAUUUUAUAUUAAAGAUGGAGGACGGGUUAAACUACAUUUGAAUAUAUUUUUAUUUUAAGAUUAAUUACAUAUAAUUAAUGAAUUUUCAGAAAAAUCUUAUUUUCGAAUUUCAAAAUCUAUAUUAAAAUUACUUAAUUAUUAAUUGUUUAUCCUAUUGCUAUCCCACCUGAUAAACUUAGUGCUAAAGUGAUCAUCUGAUAUGAUGUUAUCUAAUCUAUUUUUUUAUUUUUCAAAUCGACGUCGUUUUAGUAAGGCCACUUCAACCAUAAGUUUUGCUAUAAAAUGACCGAAAUAGAAAAUAUAUACACCAUGUUUUUUAGUGAGACCACUUCAACCCUAAGUUUUGCUAUAAAAUGGGCGAAAUAAAAAAAUAUACAUCUAUAUAUAUAUAUAUAUAUAUAUAUAUAUAUAUAAUUUAAUAUAAAAUUAAAAAUUAAUGUAUUACCCGGGACCUCACUGUUCACACACAGGAGAUCGCACCGCUCGGUGUCCCAUAAAUAAUACUCCCUCCGUCCACGAAAUGAGUACCUAUUUGUGGACGACACGGGUUUUAAGAAAUGUAUGGAGUGUGGUGUGAAUAAUUUAAGGGUCCCACUUUUUGAGUGUAUUAAUUAAAGAGAUGUGUGGGGUACACUUGCCAAAAACGGAAAUGGGUACUUAUUUCGUGGACGGACGAAAAAUGAAAUAUGGGUACUCAUUUCGUGGACGGAGGGAGUAAUUUUUAUAUAAUUAACCCUUUAUAGAACCCCGAAUGGGACAAAUAGAAGCCGCAUGAAUAAAAAGUUUUUUUUGAAAGAAAUCACAUUUGAUAUCGCAAAAACAACUAUAUUUGAGAAUUUGAGAUGGGCCUCUUCGUCUUGAAAAACAAGCCUCCUUUGGGCUCUCAUUUGACAUUCAAAUUGGAGGCAAGGUCCGCUUGUGAGGAGGAGGGUCUUCACAUAGAAACAAUUAUCCUCUGCAUAUAAAAUUGAUCGCAUGCAUUCUCUGCGAUACAAAUUUUAAUAAAAUAUAAAUAAAAUUGUUAAUAGAAUAAAAGUUUUACUUUAAUUAUAAAUAGAAUUGUGUGAACUAUAUACAAUUAUAAAUGAAAGUGACAAUUAUUUUAUAGAGGAAACGGAAAAAAAAAUUAGUGAUAAAUUUUUUGUAAACAAAGAAAGUACUAAUAUUUUGUGGUCCAAAAUUCAUAAAGACACUUAAUUUUUUAAAGAUUAAUUAUUAACAUCUAAAUACAUGAACUUUGGAUCAUUUAGAUUUUUCUCCCUAAUUUUAAAAAUAAUCAAAAAAAGAUACACAAACUUAAAUAUAAUUGCAAUUUUUUCAUAAUUAAAUAUUAGUCAAAAUUAAAAUUGACAUAUUAAUUAACAUGGUACCAAUUCAACUAAAACGUAAUCAAUUUUGCAUUUACAAAAUAUUAAAAAAAAAAAAAUCUUAACUCCAGUCUCCAAGUCACUCCACCAUCUCUCGCUCUUAAAUUUGAGUUCGAGUCGCCUCUGCAUGACCGAAUCACUCUAGAAUAACCUGCAAUUUGUAUAGUCUGCAAUCCAAUAAAUCGAGAGAUUGGUCCGAUUUACAUCUCUAAGAAAGCGUUUAUUUUGGAGGAUUAACUUUGAUAGAUAAAAAUAGUAAUGUUAAUCCCUAGUUUACUUUGAUGGAUUGAAACUUAGGGUUAGGGUUAGGGAUAUCCCAAGGUCCUUGAUUAUUUUUAUCACGAAAGCUAGUUUUGCUUGAUUCUUAUCGCAUGGAAAAAGUGGGAUUGAAAAAAAUUCUACUCUCUUCGUCCCAAUAAUCUUGUCCUACUUUCCUUUUUGAUUUGUUCCAAUAAUCUUGUCCCAUUUCCUUUUUAGGAAAAAUUUAGGGCUUGAUUAGUUAAUUAAACACCAUCCUAAUUAAUCCACUAAACAUCAUUCCUUCUUUCCUUCAUCUCGCUCGACACUCUCACCCUCUCUAUUUCUCACACACAGAGCACGCCCACACACAAGCACACGCCGUCACCCUUCUGAUCUCUGGUGAUUGCAGCUGCAGCGCCGCCGCCAUCGCCCUUCGCUUCUCUUUCUCCAGCUCAUCUCUCUCAAAUCUAGAUCCCCAAUUUCCGUCUCUCUCUCAACUCUUGAGAACGACGCCACUACCACCACUGGGAUACCCUCUGACCUCGGCUGGACAAUAGCAGUAGAGACGGCGCCGCUCCCCUUCUUUCAGCGGCGACAACGACUGAUAGCCGCCACCGGUACCUCUCUUUCUCUUCCCGCCGGACGGACAGGAGCACCGAGCUACUGUCGUCGACUUAUCUCUCUCUCUCCUUCUACUUCUGCCGGCAGACAUUUUCUGUUUUUGCUUAACAAAGAUGAUGAAAAAUUUGUAGAAGAAAUUCUUGAAAUUUGUUAAGAAGGAUGAAGAUCUUGUUGAAAUUUCUUAUUGAAAUUUGUAGAAUUUUGUUGCAUUUUCUAUUCUUGCUUAACGAAGAUGAUGAAAAUUUUGCAGAAGAAAUUGUUGAAAUUUGUUGAGGAGGAUGAAGAUUUUGUUGAAAUUUGUUAUUGUAAUUUGCAGAAAUUUGUUGCAUUUUUGUUGUUGCCUUUAAUUUACAGAAUUUAGUUUUACUAAUCAAAUCCUUAAUUAGGUGGAUCAUCACCUUUAUUCAUCUAAUUUAACACUCCUUAAUUAUCAUGCCGAAAAGAAACGGGACAAACUUAUUGGGACGGAGGGAGUAUUAUUAUGGAUAAAAAUACUCAAUCACGCAUAUAAUCAAUCAUGCAAAAUAAAUUCCUCGUAAAUAUGUAUUAGUUUAAAAAUUAUUAUCCGAUUGACAUGUGUCCUACUUAAUAAAUGGCUAACCUGCCCAUGUGGAAAUAAUUUUUGCUACCGACACCCCUAAAUUUCUUAUUUAUUAGAUGGAGUGCACUUGACAAAUAACGUGCAUGCGUAUCAGCACCGUCCAUUAGCACGACCUUUCACCUCUCUCCUCAUCUCAAACUACUCAUUCCACGUACAUCACCUUAUCCAUCAAUUUCACAUUUUUUUUG
rnacentral:lncRNA from 1 species